rnacentral:lncRNA from 1 species
UAAACCAAAACCUAAAUAAAGCUACUGUCACACUUUUGAAAGCAAACUUCUACCAGUUUGUCAACAACCUACUACAAAUUUGAUUUUCUUUAAUAUUAUGUUUUAAGUUAGAGGUCUGCUGCUUCUAAUAUUGUUAAUUAUGCACUUCUAUCAUUUGCAUUUAACUCUCUUUAAUGUUAUUUCUUAUGGUUAUGCAAUGAAUUGAAUUUAGAACAUUAUUUUGGUAAUGUAAUAAACUUAUUUUGUAUUUUAGUAUAUUUUUAUUUAUUAAAAAUACAUAAGUAUAUAAUUUUAUUUGCCGUAUCCAAGCUGUGUUAGAUAUUUAGUUUUUGAGUUUUGAUAUGUCGGCGUAUCGCGCCAUGUCCGUAUCUGCGUCCGUGUCUGUGCAACAUAGUGUUUUCCUGUAUGACAAUACAAUGUGGCUUCUCUUAUACCGUAAGAUUAAUCAAGACUUUAACUCUAAAAUCCUAAACACUACCAGGACAAGCACUUUAGCUGACGAAAAAGUUUCAUCGGCCUGUUAGCUUAAUUCGUCGGCUAAGAUUUCGUCGGGAAAAGGUCGUCGGUGAUGACUUUAGCCGACGAAACUAGAAGACGUUGUCGGCUAUAGUCUCAGAGUUCAACUUCUCAGUAUUCAACUUCUCAGUAUUCAACUUCUCAACAGUUAAUCAAUACCCACCAGUAGGUAAUGACUAACUCAUACGGUUGCAACUUGUAGGAGUCUGACAAAAUUCCAUAAACUUCAACAUCACUGGAGAGUAUGGAAUGAUUGAACUUCGGUACACAUCUACCGGUAUGGUUUCCGGAGUUUCCUUCAACGCUCCUAAAUACAACUUCAUGUAGGUGACGCACUCGUGCGCAAUAUAUGCUUCAGCUAUACAUCCUUCAGGCGCGGAUUUAUUAGCCACAUAAUCUUUGUAGUCUCCAAGUUGCCUAUAAAUCAAGUUGCAAAGUGUUAUGAUUAUUCAACAUGUAUAUAUAUUGAGGAAUUCAUGUGUAAAAAACAUACCUUUCCAUAGGAUACAUCCAAGUGUAGUGUACUGGACCGGUAAGCAACAAUUGCUCGGAAAGAUGGAUCAUCAGGUGAGGCAUGAUGUCAAAAAAAUUUGGAGGAAAUAUCCUCUCAAAUUUACACAUGAUAUAAAUGAUGUCCUCUUGCUUUCCCGGAGGUUAGAUUUUUUCACUUCCUGUGUGCAUAACUUCUGGAAGAAUCUUGCCAACGCUAUUAACGGCUCCACCACCUGACGGGGAAGGAACGGUCGAAUGAAAACAUGGAAGAGACGUUAUAACAGGAUAUAACAGUCAUGACUCUUCAACCCGUACAUCUUAUUGUCCCGGAAGUUUACACACCGGGCUAUAUUUCCUGCAUAGCCUGAAGGAUACUUCACACAACUCAUCCACUUGAAAAUUACGUUCUUCUGGUCAGGCUUCACGGUGUAAGGAGUUUGAGGCAUUUUUUUCUUCCCUUCUUUCAACCACAAAUGUCUUCUUAUAAGCAUUUUGUUUAGAUCAAUGCGUGCCUUAAGACCGUCUUUCGUCUUCCCCUCCAAGUUCAGCACUAUGCCCACCACACUGUCGCAAACAUUCUUUUCUAUGUGCAUCACAUCUAGGUAGUGCCUGAUCAACAACUUACUCCAGUAUGGGAGUUCCCAGAAUAUGCUCUUAUGUGUCCAGAAUUUGUACCUGUAGGGUCUUUCAGGUAUUGCCACCACAAUAUUGGGAUGAUUGCUGAGCUGCCCAAAAUCGUACUUAUUAAGCACUGCUAAAAUUUCUUCCCCCAUCCAUCUUCUAGGAGGCACACCGUUUUCUACAGUCUCACCAAAUGCCUGCAUCGAACCGCCAUUUGUGAUCAUAUGGAAAGAGAGUACGGUGACCCAAUUUGCAUAUCUUGUUGCAAUGACUGUUGCUCCCCUCAUCGCUAAGGACUCUAGACAAGCCUUAUAUCCCCUAACAACGUUGCCCGACAACAUCCCACGGGCAGGAAAAUCACUGAUGGUAUCAACAACCAUGACAUGCAUCUGGAACAUCUCGUGCAUGUACUUGUCAUAAGUGGAUGUACUGCCCGUCUCAGAAAAUUGUCCAUGAUCAUGCGGACCCCCUGAUGAUGUUUCACCGUGAUAUAACCAACAUGUGUACUUCUCCCAAAACCCGUUACUCUUCAGGUGCUGCCAUACUUUGUCAAUCGCAAAUCGGUGCAUAUCGCUGCGACACUGACAUUUCGUGUACGGGCAAUAGAAAAAUGUAUUCCCGUUAGCAUUAGCCAGCACAUAUUCCAGAAAACUCAUAACUCCUUUACCAUAUCUUUUGUCCUAUUUUGGAAGCGAAAUCCAACUCUUAUCUAUAUCCUGAAAAUAUAACAAAAUAUAUAUGUAUAAUGUUAGCUAAUUAUUAAUUAAAUUCCAUGUCAUAUAUAAAAUCUUAAUUCAUUUAGUAUAUAUUAAUUCUACGCACUACAACUAAUUAAUAACAAAUUAAUUAACACAUAUAUAUACUUAAUAAUUACAUAACAAUAUUAUAUAUCAACAUCAUCACAAAAUCAUCAUCAACUCAUAUCAUCAACAACUUCAUACCAUCAACACAAUAUUAUAAAUUAAUUAACAUAUAUAUAAUAUAUAUCUACUACUUAUUAACAACAACUUCAUAUAUAUUAUCAAAUCAUCAACCAAAUCGAUCAACACAUACAUAUAUACAUCCAACGUACUCAAAAUCGAUCAACUCAAUCACACUCAAAAUCAAUCAACUCAAAUAAAACUCAAAAUCAAUUAACUCAAAUAAAACUCAAAAUCAACAUAUAUACACAUAUACGUACCAGAUUUUUCUCAGUUGCGGACGUCCGCACCAAUGGUUUUGGUGCAGAUUUUUAUUUUUGCACUACUUUUCGAUCGAAUUUCCUCAUCUCCACCGUCUAGUAUCUAGAUAAUAUUGUGUAGAUCAUCUCUGCAAAAUUUCAGCCAAUUUGGUAAUCGUUAAGGCCCUCAAACUCGAAAAACAAAUGGACGGACUGAAUUUUGUCAAACAUGAACCGUUCAUGUUUAUAACAGAAAGACGCAAUUUUGAGGGCCUUAACGAUUACCAAAUUGGCUGAAAUUUUGUAAAGAUGAUCUACACAAUAUUAUCUAGAUACUAGACGGUGAAAAUGAGGAAAUUCGAUCGAAAAGUGGUGCAAAAAUGAAAAUCCGCAACAAAACCAUUGGUGCGGACGUCCGCAGCUGAGAAGCCCUAUAUAUAUAUCAUCUAAUUAUCAUAUCAAUGACAUAAAAACCAUCUUGUCGGAGUUCAGUUCAUCCAUGUCUAUGUUAAUGAUUAAGUAUGAAACUCCUUCCGCGGUGAUUCAUAAGUGUUACGUUAGACCUGCAAGACGAACACACGCGGCUAGAAGGAAGAUCGGAAGCUCUGACCGCCUUACUAGCUAGCUUGGGGUACGUGGAAGGGUUGAUUGCGGUUGUGGUUAACUGUAGUAGAGGAUGACUAUAUUUGAAUACCGAUCACUUGAUGCAUGUGUUGUGUUAAAUGUUAGCUGCUGCUUGAUUCAAGACCAAAAUAAGAGAGAUAUAGCUAGCCAAACUGAUUAUGGACCCUAGAAAUCAUGAAGGAAAAUUAUUAGUUAGUUGUCUGGAGUUCGAUCUUCAGAUCUUGACUAACUGACACGAAAUGGGCAUGAUUACGAGUAGUAGCUCUCUGAUCUGAUGAAUCGAGUGGUUGAAUAUCCUUUUCUAGACGGCCAAAACCCUAGCUGCUGGCUACGUAUUUAUGACGAUAUAUAUAAUGGGAUCGAUCAGCAGAGUUAUUAAUGUUUGGAUUUUUCGUCUAAUACGUAGGCUCUCCAGGGCUAGUGGAGCCUUUAGCAAGGUAGGGUUGCGGCCAGAGCCAGACGCAUGCGAGUGAUCGGAUUGCUCUCUCUGGUAGUUUAUAAUGGAUCGUCUCUGUCUAUAUCUUUCUAUAUGAUCUUGGCUUUCGAUUCCCUUGUUGCUAAGCUAAGCUAAUGAUCUAGGUUUGCAACGUCAACGUGGUCCAAACUUGUUUGUGUGUCUCCUACAUAGCUUUGCCGCUAUGUACAGUCCUAUAUAUAUUACAGCAUUCACGAUUGUGCCGUAGUUAAUUAAUUAAUCGUUGUGAGUUUCUGUGUGAAAGCCGUAAUGUCCCUGAUUGGCACCACUGCCUGGCUAGCUGGUUAUAGCUUCAGUGUAGAGGUUAAUUAGCCACGGAAACAAUGAACAAUCUCAUUCUCAUCUACUGUCUCUCUGCUUUUCUAUAGAAAGAGAUGAGAUGGGGGCGGCUGAUGGUGACGCAACGGUGUUAACUAGGUUUUUUUGCCAUUCCGAUCCUUAAGAAUUAGAAAAAAGAAGAGUGCGUGUUAUUGGAUGACUUGGUUGCAAGAGAUUUUUACAAAGGGCAUGGACCAAAAUUGCCAAAAUCCGUCUGCAGAGAACCAUCUUCAUCUGAGUCUGGCGUAGAAACAUAGCGUUUCGCAGCAUAUAUAUUCAAUGAGCGUUAUCUUAUUGCCAGUAAAUUUAACAAAGCUUGAAGCCAGUUUUAAACAACCCAUGUUGUCACACUUGUAUGAGAUUCAGACAGUGAGCGCGCUGGUCUCAUGCAAAGAGGAAAAAGCUAGGUGUGAAGAGUUAGUCUAAUCAGAUCUUCACAGCAGUUGGAAGUGCAGUAGCUGUGUUCGUUUGACAGCACUUAGGUGUGCUUUAGGUUUUGCAUUAAGAGGUCCUGCUGCUUCCGGUGACUGUACGUUCCAGCUGUGCGCUUAAGCAACAUUUAUUUGAAAGAUGUGUAUUGAACUAAUGAUAUGCUGAUGCUCUGGUGUAGUUUGCUAAAAUGUUGCGAAAGAUUUUUCAUGCUUACCAGAUUAGGAUGUUCAAAGAAGACCGUAUAUAUUCGAGAAAGAAAAAUACUUGUGCUCGGACUGAUAUGUACAUGUGCAUCCGGAUUCUUUCUUAUUUACAUACAUUUGCCAAUGCAAAUCAUAAUCUUAACAUUUUAAAAGUUAAAUUAACCAAUAUGUGAAGAUAAUCUAUGCAAAAAAUCAAUGUAAACAAAAAUGAUUUGCUAAGCCGAAUGAAAACUACUAUCUUUCACCAUAACUAUAAAUUUGUUUAAUCCAAUUGACUGAGCAAACGAUUUUUGUUUACUUUGAUAUUUUAUAAAGAUGAUCUUCAUUGGUUAAUUCAACUUUUGAACGGUUAAGAUUAUGAUUUACAUUGACAAAGAUAUGUAAAUGAGAGAGUCCGAAAGCACACAUACAUAUUAGUCCGGACGCAAAUAUUUUCUUUCGAGGAAGCAUGAAACUCUUUAGCUAUUGUAGCUCUUGGCAUUCAUGCAACCACAGAGUGGGGAGGGUGACAAAACCCUACACACUACUUCAGUACUACCUCACAAAACCAGAGCAUUCUCCGAAUCUCCGUAGGUGCAUAUCUCUCCAAUCAAAUAGAACAAACAAUGCAGCCCACUUUCGUGGGCCUCAAUCUUAGAAAUGUUGGUGGUUGGGUUGUUGGGUUGUCACUGAUAUACGGAGUUUUGGUCCAAUUCAAUACGUCCAAUCAGAAAGAAACAUAUGCCGAAAUUACAGGCCUCGUUGAGGGCAACCUAACUGUCACUUUGACUUCGACACUUGUUUUGAAUCACAAGCGAGGUCCGUCCCCUACACACCCUUGCCUUGAAGAGCGGUGCAGAGGGGUAGUUCCGUCAUUCUCACGUUAGAUAUUUCCCCUAAGAUGGCGCGUCACGGUCGCGCGCGUAUGGACUCCGAAGUUUAAAUCGGAGAAGGGAGGAAAGCCUCUUCAGCCAAUAAGAUUUCAUCUCCGAACUCAUUUCACCCUAUCAAGAAACGCCACGUAACCGUCAAAUAUAAAGCGGGUCAAAAAUAAGAAAAAUGUAGGCGGUCUUGUAAACGUUUCAGGAAUAUAGAAAGAAAGAAACCCGGAAUCAGAUUUUGAUCUGGAUUCGAAUUUAGAGCGCUUGAAAUUCACAGCAGAAUAGAUUUCAAAUUAGAAGCAACAACAUUUUCAUUGAAGCUCUUGUUGAUUUUUUUUUUUUGGUGUGCGAUUUUGUAAAUUGAAAAAAAAAAANNNNNNNNNNNNNNNNNNNNNNNNNNNNNNNNNNNNNNNNNNNNNNNNNNNNNNNNNNNNNNNNNNNNNNNNNNNNNNNNNNNNNNNNNNNNNNNNNNNNNNNNNNNNNNNNNNNNNNNNNNNNNNNNNNNNNNNNNNNNNNNNNNNNNNNNNNNNNNNNNNNNNNNNNNNNNNNNNNNNNNNNNNNNNNNNNNNNNNNNNNNNNNNNNNNNNNNNNNNNNNNNNNNNNNUGGAUGGUUGGCCAACGAUGGAUCUGUUUCGGUCGGAGCCAAUGCAAUUGGUGCACCUGAUCAUUCCGAUUGACUCGUCUCGCCGCGCCAUCUCCUACCUCGGCGAGCUCGGCCUUUUUCAAUUCAAAGAUGUUAGUCCCCUCCUCCCGGCCUCUCAUAUUUCCUGCUUAAUUUGAUGAUUUAUUUGUCUAUUAAUGUCUGCAUUUCUCAAUUUUAAUUUGAAGCUCAAUGCGGAGAAGAGUCCGUUCCAGAGAACUUACGCCGCUCAGGUACAUUCAUCUUCUCUCUCUAAAUUGAAUCAGCAUAGCAAUUUCGUAUUUUAAAUAAGAUUGAAAUGUAUGCCACAUUGUGAAAUCUAUGUGUUGGAUUUGGAAUUGGAUGUGAUCCGAUGCGUGUGGCUGUGUAGAUCAAACGAUGCGGGGAAAUGGCUAGAAGGUUACGAUUCUUUAGAGAUCAGAUGAGGAAGGCUGGGUUGUUGUCACAAUCAACAAUGUCGACAAUGAGCAAUGAAACUGAUCUCGAUAGCUUGGAGGUAGUUUGACAAGUUGAAAUGCUGUUUUUGAGUUUUUUUGAGACUAUUGUCGUAUCAGCUUCUGAUUUGGGGGAGUGUGGCCAGGUUAAACUCGGUGAACUUGAAGGUGAUUUGUUAGAAAUGAAUGCAAAUAAUGAACAAUUGCAACGCACUUAUAACGAGCUAUUAGAAUACAAGCUUGUACUGCAGAAGGUAUGAAUUGUUUCUUAACUGCUGUUGCACUGAUUUGUAUACGAACAUUGUUUGCAUUUAUGUUGAUGUGAUACAGAAAAUAAUUAUUACUACAUGCUGACCUUUUGUACUCAUUUCAGGCUGGGGAGUUUUUUAGUUCAGCUCAAAGUAUUGCCGCAGCUCAGCAGAGAGAAAUUGAAGUGCAGCCCAUGGGUGAAAGAUCCAUGGACAGUCCAUUAUUACUCGAACAAGUGCAGCUUUGUAUUUUUCUAUUAUGUUUUUUUUCAUUGUUAAGUUCCUUUUCCUUUACCCUUGAAUGAUGUUAUGGUUUUAUUUUCUGUAGGAAAUGACAACAGAUCCAUCAAAGCAUGUAAAGCUUGGGUCCGUGAGUGGUCUUGUUCCAAGAGAAAAAUCUAUGGCCUUUGAAAGGAUUCUAUUUCGUGCCACCAGGGGUAAUGUAUUUCUGAAGCAAUCUGUCGUUAAUGGUGCUGUUGUUGAUCCUGUAUCAGGAGAGAAGGUUAAUACUCAAUUGUCAUUUUAAUGUUCCAAGAUAUCAUUUUAGUUGUGGUUAUGGGGACAAUGCAUGGUGUUACUUGCAUCUUUCUUCUUUUCAAUCUUAAAUUUUGUUCCCACUGAGGGUUGUGAUUUAAGGAAGAGUUCCUCUAUGUAUGUGUAAGCCUUAAUCAGACAGAAACUAAUGGUUUGCUUCCUGCAUGCUAUAUAUUGUGUGUGUAAAAAUUUUCUUUUAUUUUUUUCCUACACUGUGUUUGUGCAUACAUGUUCUAGAUUUCAUUCUCAUCCAACUAGAUGGUCAAUCUUUCACAAGUUCUUAUUGAUAGACUACUGUUUUACAGGUUGAGAAAAAUGUAUUUAUCAUCUUCUAUUCCGGAGAAAGGGCAAAGAGUAAAAUUCUGAAAAUAUGUGAGGCUUUUGGAGCAAACCGUUACCCAUUUACAGAUGACUUGGGAAAACAAUUUCAGAUGAUUACUGAGGUAGCCACUGUUCUUUUGCUUUAUAUGUAUACCAAGAACUUCUGGAUACUGCAAAUGUUGAGCUCUCUUGCCUUGCGGUAUUCAUGUGUAUUUGAGAAACACAGAGUGGACAGACAUUCCUGUUCUUCCAAUUUGUUGUUGUUAAGCUUUUGAUUAUUGUCAGGAGUUGUGAUUUGGUAGCUAUAGUGUGGUCACAAGUUGCAUCUAGAAUGGUUCUGCAUCUGAUAUGUCAUUGGAUGGUCUCAUUUUCUCACUAGUACCAGCAUAAACAUAACUUUUAUUGCUUAAACAUCAUCUAUAAUGGGUUUGUGUAUUGCACUCAUGUAUUUUCAGAAAGGUUUUAUACUACAGGGUUUUGGUCUGUAUAUCUGAAACUAAUAUCACCAAAAUCUCAAACACUUUGUGCUCAUAAAAGAUAGUAGUAGCAUUUUUGCUAAAACAGCGUGAAGCAGUCAUGCAGAGGAAAAACUUUAAGAGCCUGGUAAACUUGCUAGACAUGAACCAUCAUAUCCUAGUAGCUAUAGUGGUACACUCCGUUUUGUCCAAUUGUGUAUAUAGCAUUAAGAGAAGUUACUGUACAAUCUGAACUCUAUAACCCCUUUAAUUUCUAGGUGUCUGGAAAAAUUUCAGAGCUGAAGUCUACUAUUGAUGCUGGACUGUUGCAUCGGAACAGUUUAUUACAGACAAUUGGACAUCAAUAUGAACAAUGGAAUCUUCUGGUUUGUUGACUUUUUCCAUUUAUCUACAGUUUCUCUUUUCAUUGUCUAAAUUCUUAGACUGAUUCCCAUGUAAAUUUGGUCAUUAUCACCGAGUAUAAUUUGUGCUCUAAUUUUUAUAUCUCUAUGACUUGAUAGGUGAAGAAGGAAAAAUCCAUUUACCACACCUUAAAUAUGCUGAGCAUCGAUGUGACAAAGAUGUGCCUUGUGGCAGAAGGUUGGUGUCCCGUAUCAGCGUCACUUCAGGUCUGUUCUUUUAUUCCGCAACAGUUUCCUGGUGAAACACAUAACAUUGCAUUCAUUAAUAAAAAGUUGACUUGAAGUAUUAACAAGUGCUUUGCAUCUUGAAAAGAAUACUUAUUAAUGCAAGUCUGAAUUUUUCAGAUCCAAAAUGCACUGCAGCAGGCAACCUACGAUAGCAACUCCCAAGUUGGGGCCAUAUUCCAGGUUUUGCACACAAAGGAAUCGCCACCUACAUAUUUCCGUACAAACAAAUUUACUACUGCUUUUCAAGAAAUUGUUGAUGCAUAUGGGUGAGUCAGUUUUGUAGGUUAUGUCUCUACAAGCUGUAGGACACAUGGAGGUUAUAUACAUGAACAAUUUGAUUGAAGUACUAUCAUCACAGGGUUGCGAAGUAUCAGGAGGCUAAUCCUGGUGUAUAUACCAUUGUCACUUUCCCUUUCCUUUUUGCUGUGAUGUUUGGAGACUGGGGGCAUGGUAUUUGCUUGUUGCUGGCAACACUAUAUUUCAUCAUCAGCGAGAGAAAGUUUUCUAAUCAGGUAAUGGUGCAUGGCUUUCUGACAGGAGAUUGUCCACUCUUUCCUUGUGAUUUUGCAUUGUUAUACAACUUCUACUUACUUAGAUUUGUUGACCACAGAAACUUGGGGACAUUAUUGAAAUGACGUUUGGUGGGCGUUACGUUAUAUUUAUGAUGGCGCUGUUCUCAAUCUACACAGGAUUGAUAUACAAUGAAUUCUUUUCAGUCCCAUUUGAACUGUUUGGCCCUUCUGCCUAUGCAUGCCGCGACCCAUCCUGCAGGUACACAAUCUAUCUGAGAUACUUGAACAUAUUUUUGGUAUUAUGGUAUACCAUUCCCAUUUGAGUUGGUUACUAGUUUCUCGUUGUUAUUGCAGGGAUGCCACAACAGUGGGUUUGACUAAGGUGCGUGACACCUAUCCAUUUGGUUUGGACCCUAAAUGGCAUGGUUCCAGGUCCGAGUUACCCUUUCUGAACUCGUUGAAGAUGAAGAUGUCAAUCCUCCUAGGAGUAGCGCAGAUGAAUCUUGGAAUUGUAUUAAGUUAUGUCAAUGCAAAAUUUUUUGCUGAUAAGCUGAAUGUCUGGUAAGCUGCAUUUCUCAACUUGAUAGUUGGUCCUGCAUGUUACUUCAUUAUGCAUGUGUAUAUUUAACUAAGUAAAGUUAGUCGAAUAAUCCUAUCUUAAAAGAGAGUUUGAGGUCUUGUAUAUCCUUUAUGCGCGUCCGACCUUCAGUUUGCAAAUAGCUACUCUCGUUUCAGUCGUCUGUACUUCUGAAGAGUCAGUCAUGUUUAAGUGUUAUAAGUUGGUUUCUAAAUGUUGACUAUCAAGUCAUCAUAACUAACCAUGUUUCUGUAGGUACCAAUUUGUUCCUCAGAUGAUAUUUCUGAACAGUCUGUUUGGCUACCUUUCGCUCCUAAUUAUUGUGAAAUGGUGCACUGGUUCAAAAGCUGAUUUGUAUCAUGUAAUGAUAUACAUGUUCCUGAGUCCUUUCGACGAUCUGGGUGAAAACCAGCUCUUUUGGGGGCAAGGAUUCCUUCAGGUUUAUUCUCUUUUCUUGGAUUUUGCCAAAAUUUGAAAAACAGUAUGAUAUAAUGGUGCUGAUCUUUUAAGUUCCCUGUUUCUAAAAACCAGGUUCUAUUAUUACUAUCAGCUCUUGUUGCUGUUCCAUGGAUGCUGUUUCCAAAGCCUUAUUUCUUGAAGAAGCAGCAUGAGGAGGUAUGCUUGAAACAUCAAUGUUUCCUUUAUAGUCUAAAAUAUAGUUCUUGCACCUACAACCCUUCAUUCUUGCAUUGAAUGCUCUUUUUUUUUUUUUAACAUCCUAUUGCCAUCUCUUGAUACCCUGUUUCCUCAGAGGCACCAAGGUCAAUCCUACGCGUUGCUUCUGAGUGGGGAGGAUCCUCUUGAUGAUGACCAGGAAGACCAUCACAAAUCAAAAGAUCACGAGGAAUUUGAAUUCAGCGAGAUCUUUGUACACCAACUUAUACAUACCAUAGAAUUUGUUCUUGGAGCAGUGUCCAAUACAGCUUCAUAUUUGCGUUUAUGGGCACUCAGGUAGGUGGCUGAAACUUAAACCAUUUCGUAUUUUCACAACAUACAAGCUGAUUUAGACAUCUUAACCUUCAAGGAUGUGUGUAAUUGCACAUCUCAAAUAGUUGUUGAUACUUUCAGUUUUCACUAUUAAAUGAUGAUCAUCUUGCUUGUCCUUUUUUUUCUUGUGUAUGUUCAGCUUAGCACAUUCAGAGUUGUCCAGUGUAUUUUACGACAAGGUUCUACUUCUAGCUUGGGGGUAAGUUCCUUCUUUUACUCGUGUCUUUGCUCCUAUUACUGAACUUUGAGAUCUCAAAGUAGCCAAGUAAUGAAUGAAUCUCGUGGGAAUUACUACUGCAGGUACGACAAUGUCAUUAUUCUAAUCAUUGGCAUAAUCGUUUUUAUAAGUGCAACUGGUGGAGUGCUACUAGUGAUGGAGACCUUGAGUGCGUUCUUGCAUGCCUUGAGGCUUCACUGGGUGGAGUUCAUGAACAAGUUUUAUGAGGGCUCUGGUUACAAAUUCUACCCUUUUUCAUUUGCAUUACUCAGCAGUGAGGACGAUGAUUGAAACAUUGCGAUUUUUGAUUCGUACAGUCCUAUAAUUCAAGAUGUAAAAUAGAAAUGUAUUGAUUCGAUUCAUUAUACACAAAAUAUAUACUCUGCACUGUAAUACGAACUGAUAGAAUGUAUUCCUUCCACAAUGUGGAGUUUUUGGGAUUGAAAGAGGAUGAAAGAUGCAAGUACAGGUGAAUUUCUCGAGUGAGAGUGGGCCUUGGGCCUCUUACUAUACUAGUAGGUCCAGACGUGAGGCCCAUUGAUAUUGGUAUGUGUUGUCUUUGUUUUGAUAGUUUCGUGUGGUCGUCAAUUGAUUAGACGUUUGAAAGGACUUUACCUUGAAGAUUUUGAACAACGUUAACAACGUACAAGUUCCGAGAGAACAGCUACUUGGUGCAGCUCUAUGAGCCCACGCUUCAAUGCAUUAUGCAUCCAAUGAAAAACCCAGGGAAUAUUAACCCAGCUAAUCAACCAAAAGAACAAUGAUCGACUUCCCUAGCUUUGGCCACUGGAUUUUACAUCUUCAUAUAUGAAUGAACUCUGAUCUACAUUUCCCUAAAACUAUACGACGCUUUAGAGUAUUGAAAAUUCAAAGUCAAGAAGUUACUAGCCUUUUUUAUUCCAUACGGAUCAACACCGUAGACUAAUCCGCGCCAAUAGCUCAUAUCAAAACGUUUCCUAAAUAUGGAGGUUGAACACGGUAGAGUAAUCCGCGUCAAUUAGGUCAUGUCAAGACGUUUCCUGGAUAUAGAGGUUGCACACAUAGACUCUUAUCGUGGUGAUCAAAUGGUCUUGUAACUUUGAACUUAUGAUGAAAGAGACUUAUAAAUAUAUGGUGGUAAACUGAGUUUAGUUUAGUUCCUCAUUAGGGUAAGCAUGGAGGAAACUAACUUAACAUGUCUCUCCUCGAUCUUCGAGUCUGUCUUAGAUUGCCCAGUUACAUCAAAACGGAAAACGGGGGACGGAAAGUGUAGUGAUGAUCAUGGCGUAUAUUGGUCCCCCACGCACAUCGAAAUGCGAGCCAAGGAAGCAAACCAGGAAUGACAUCGCCACGUUUAGCUCUUCCCCCACAUCUAUGUGAAUCACCAAUCCCCAAACCCUUUCCAUUCUCAGUAAUGCCUUUCUUCUCUGCUUCUCUAUCCACACAUUAGCCCUGUGCUUAUUUUCUGUUUAGGUUCUUUAUAUCUAGAGCUAAGCUAAUCCUGCAACUCAGAUCGGACUACAAUGGCGAGAGGUAAGAUCCAGAUCAAGAGGAUAGAGAACGUGACGAACAGGCAGGUCACCUACUCCAAGAGAAGGAACGGUCUCUUCAAGAAGGCCAAUGAGCUCACUGUUCUCUGUGAUGCCAAGGUUUCUCUCCUCAUGGUUUCCUCCUCCGGAAAGCUUCAUGAGUUCAUUAGCCCCUCCACCACGUACGUAAUCUUAAUCCUUAGCUCCGAGAUCUCAUUCCGCUUCUCAAAACCUAGCUUCGGUUUUAAUUAUGUUACUACAUUUUUUGUGCAGGACAAAGCAAGUGUACGAUGAGUACCAGAAGCUUCUUGGAAUCGACCUUUGGAAAUCGCACUAUGAGGUGAUCUGAUCUUUCUGACUAUUUCUCUGUGUCUAGCUAUACUAGUGUACGUAACUAAGCACAUUUUUAUAUGAUUGUGAUAAUUUGUGCAGACGAUGCAAGAAAAUUUGAAGAAGCUGAAAGAGACUAAUAAGAGUCUGAAGAGGCAGAUCAGGUAAUAUUUAUGUGAAAUUAUAUUUUUAGUUAAUUUUCUUGCUCAUUGUUUCAUUCCAAAAUGUAAUGAGUUUGAUGUUCUGGCUGAUGAGUUCUUGAUUUUGACAUAUAGGCAAAGGCUGGGCGAGUGUUUGAACGAUCUGAGAUUUGCUGAUCUGCUCAGUCUUGAGAAAGAAAUGGAAACCGCUGUAGAAGUUGUUCGUCUUCGCAAGGUUGUUCAGAUCUUUGCUCCUCGAUCUCUUGGUGUUCAGUAAUCUAUAAAUCAUAAUGGCUCUUAUUAUUUUAUUUCUUCAAAGGAAUAGGUUUAUUGAAUGAUAUCAAGAACUACAAAGAUGGGAGGAGCUGCAUAAUGUGACUUCUUUAUUAGAAUUUCAUGGUUAAAAUCUUCACUAAAACAAAAUCGUAACUAUUCUAAUGGCUGUUGUAUAACUCACUAGGUUAAUCAACGACAUCAAGUAAUUUCAUAGCCAAUGUAUUAAAUUAAAAAUGAAUAUUGGUGCAGCAAGUUUAGGGUUUAGGUGAAUAUAUAGGUGCAGCAAGUUAAACUCAUAUAUAGGCUAGCUAGAGCUAGCUGUGAGUUCACUUUCUUUUCUUUGCAGAUUUGUUGUCAAGUUUCACUGCAUAGUUUGAAUCCUUGAUAGUAUGGAAGAUUAAUUGCUGUAUCUUUAGACUAAGUGGUCUGUCUAAUGUACUCCAUGUAUUCCAUCUCUUCAAUCAGAUUGAUGGCUUGUGUUUUGGCCACUUCAAUCUUGAAUCACUUUCUUAAGAGACUCUCCUCUUUUCAAGGUUUUAUCAGAAAAUGGGUGAUUCACUGAUUUGGAGGAGGUUUGAUCAGACGGGUUUCUUUCUAUAUAUAUGCUCCCCUCAAAUAAAUGGGUGUAACUGGAAUAUAUGUAUAUUUGAGUUUCCCUUGAAUUGUUUAUUUCUAAUUUCUGCCGCAAAUGAUCUUUCAUAUCCUUCUUUAUCAAUGUGUAUAUUUUGUUUGAAUUUAUUUUGUUAUAGUUUGAUUUUGAUCUAUUCAAGAAAGAAGAAGAUCUAUAUAUGAGUUUAUUGCUAGCAGCGAGACCUAGCUAGCAUUAACCUACCUUACUAGAGUCACUACCUAGUUUUAUUGUUACUGCAUUUUCUUCUUCCUAAUGUAGCUGUGUUAGCUAAUAUUAACAUCUGUGAUGAUUGACAGGAGAAGCUGAUCAUGAAUCAGAUUCAAACCAAGACGAAAAAGGUAAUCUCAUUCACCAUGUAUAUAUAUAUGGUUGGCAAUCCUUUGUCCAUUGACAUUAAUUUGUUGAUGCAUGUAUUCGUCUAUGUAUUUAGAGGAAUCUUUCUCAUUCUCUUCAUUACUUGAUGACAGAUUCGGAAUGCAACAGCGUGUAACAACAGACUCUAUGAAUUUGUAUGCAUUACUUUGCAGUAAAGUUUAUUGAUUCUUGUCGAGCUAGUAAUUCAAACAUACGUCUUUGCUUCUUUGCCCUAUAUAUACUUUCUGUUUCUUCUUUUUCCAAAUCAAGAAGCUAGCUAGAUCAAUGUGAGUGCUUUCUUUAAACUGUUUUUAUUUAUAGGAUAUGGAUGAUCCGCACUAUGGACUGGUUGAAGAUGGAGUGGAAUAUUAUGAUUCUGCAGUCAUUGGCUAUUCAGCAAAUGAACACCCUCACAAUGUAUUUCCUUUAAGGCUGCAACCUUCUCAUCAUCAUCAUCCUAAUCUUCACCAUGGAGGAGGAGGAGGUUCAGAUCGUACGACCUACACCCCCUUGCUUUGAUCGAGUAUCAUUCAAGGAAGUUGAUCGAUCCCAAUAACAGGUCGAAAACAUUAAUCUUUGCCGCAAUGAAGUUCAAAACUGUGGUGGAGUACUAUGCAUUCUAUGUAUUGAUAUUAGAAGACGAAAUUAAGCUGUUUAGCUAGCUAGUAGUAGAUGUUAUCUUAAGGGAUGCUUGGCUGGUUGAGAUCGAUGCGUGUAGAGUACUGUACUGUGUCCAUGACAUUCUGAUUGAUCCCGGCAUGUCUUUUGUUCUUUGAUUGCGAUCUGUUUGCUAUAACAGUAGAUUUGAUUGAAGACUUCUGAUCAGUUGCUUGUUCACUUUGCUUUCCUACUAUGUGAAAUAAGCCUCCGGUUUAGAACUUCUUUUUUCCCUGAUUGGGCCUCCGGAUCACAACUUUGGAUGUUCAGUUUCUCGAAGCUAAUUCCAUUCUCUGACUAAUGAAUCUUCCAUGUGUUUUUUUUCCCCCAAAAAUUACUUGUCAAGAUAUGAGAAACAUGUCUAAUCCGAUAUAAAAAAAAAAUGUCUAAUAAGGUCAUGUCACAACAUUAUUGCGAAAUCAAAGUUUUAAUCAGUUUAGCUAUUUGAAAUGAAAAAAAACCAACCAUGCGUUCUUCGUAAAGUCGGACAGAUUGAUCAUUUUCUACUUAAACGAAAGAUACAAAAAUGAAGUUGUAUUACCCACAAAACUCGAGCUUUAAUCUUCAUAAAGAGAAAUUUUAAAUACACAUCCUUAAUAUCUUAAUACACAUCCUUUACUUAAUACACCACUUAUCAAAUUUUUCAUUUCAGUAUUAUACUUAAUACACAUCCCAAAAUGCUUCAAAUGCCCUUAAUUUAUGAAAUAUUCCGUUAUUUAAUAUAAUUAAUAUAUAUUUACUAUUUGGUAUCUCUUUUUACAUAUUAUUUCGUCUAAUUUUUGCUAUCAUCGUUCAAUUUAUAAUCAAAUGAUUAUUGUUAUAUCUCAACUCUAAAUCACCAAUACAUGUUUUCAAAAUUCACAAGCUAGUACAACUGUAGAAGUACAGUAGCUAUUAAACAUAGAUAGCUAGUUAUUCGAUAAAACAUGUCAUGAUAAAGAUGCAGUACUUAACAAUAUGAUCUACAAGAUCAAAUUAAACCUGAUAAAGAGGCAGUAUUUGACAAUAUGAUCUAUAAGAUCAAACUAAAGCUGAUACGGAUAACAAAAAAAAAAAAAAAAAACAACCCAAAUGAAUUGUGGAGAAGAAUUGGGGUUAAGGGAAAAGACGUGCUUUCAACGAUUUUAGGGUAGAAGACGUUGGAAAGAAUACUUCUAGCGUGAUUUUUUUUUUUAAUAAUAGAUGUAUAUUUUGGUCAUUUAGCUUACCUAUAAAAUCUCAAUAGAAACAUAAAAUAAAUAGGGAUGUGUAUUAAAAGAUUAGGGAUGUGUAUUUAAAAUUUUUCCUUUCAUAAAACCAACUUGAAAAAGUAAAACAAAUGUUUCACUCAAUUUAAAUAUUUACGUAAUCUAAAGAUACAAUAAGAUCCCGAAUCUCGUGGAAUACAAUGUAAAUCUUCAAAUUCCUAUUCGAGCUAAAACGUUUCGUAUAAUGGUCCAAAAAUAAGAAAACUAUAAUCGAAAAGGGAAAGAAGCAUAAAAGAAAAAAAAAAACACAAAUAUAUUGUACCCAGAAAAAGAACCAAAUGCAAUUUAUAAAUAGUUUUCUUCGGAAGUAGGGACUCUAUGGUCAAUGGUCAAACCCCGGGCACUGAGCAGGAGAGUCCUCGCCAACCUCUGCACCUUCUUCUUCUUCUUCCCCAACCGCCUCACACCCGUCGCCAAUCGCUCACCUCAAACGCCCAAUUGGCCCUCCACGUGUCGCGAAACCUCUCUAAAACCCUUCCCAACCCCUCUCUCACCUAUGCUCGACGAAGCUGAGGCGUAGGCAUGGCCGGGGACGCAGCUCUGGCGCGGAGCUCGGCCGUCGGCGCCUGGAUUCCGGCCGACGAUGUUUUGCUCAAGAACGCCGUUGAGGUCAAAAUUUUGAAGUUUUGAUAAUGUUCUUCAUUUAACUAUUGUGAUAUAAUUCGUUUAAAUUUCGAACAAGUUAAUUUUUGUAUGAGGUUAAAAUUGUGAGUUUUUUGAAUUGUAUUUGAAGAAUGAGGGGAUUUGAUGAUAGGCUGUAGUGUGUUUAAGUGUCAAUUCAAGCAAUAGAAUCAAGAGAUUGAUAGAGUUUUUGCUGCGGUUGAGUCAUUGUUUGCGGUAUCUAUUAGUCUGACUAAGAACUAAUUGCCACUGUUAGUUAGGGUGGAUUGUCCUGGUGUCUCUUUCAGAGAUGAGUGAGAGUUUGGCAUUUUUCAAAGUGUUUAUUUUUGACCAGUGAUAAUUUGUUAUACAAGUUACACAGAAGCAUGAUACAUGUGCUAAAACAUGAAUGUUCUUUCAUAAAGAACCUAUCUAUUUAGAGCUCUUUAAAAAAGUUGAGGUCUUGAUAGGGAAUCUUUAUAACGGAAAAUUUCAGGAGGAUAAUAACUGCUGUUUAGAUUAUGAGAAGACUGUACCUAUAUUCUCGAAAGUUAUUUUUGGAUUUAAUAGUUGUAUCUUGGGGGUUCGAUGUAUUCUUUUGUUCUGUUUGCAGGCUGGUGCUUCCUUGGAAUCACUUGCUAAAGGCGCAGUUCAUUUUUCUCGAAGGUUUACUGUGCAAGAACUGCAAGAUCGGUGGUACUCUAUCUUGUAUGAUCCAGUUGUGGCUGAAGAAGCUUCUGCUCGCAUGGCUGAGUUUGAGUUUGCCACUCCAAAUUUUGCAUCAAAGUUUAGUAGGGUAGGAUGUUCAAAAGAAAACAAAUGUGCACCUGGAAAGAGAAAAGCUGAAAGUGUUCGGAGUAGUUACUCUGCUCUGCGUAAAAGGAUCUGCAGCGAGCCAUUUGACUCCAUGGACCUCAGUUUUAUACUUGCACCCAGCGAUAGUAACUAUAUUGUAAAUGGAGAUGAGCCUCUCUCUGAACAUGUCAUGACUGGAGAUCCAAUCGCACAUAAUUUUGGACUUGACGGAUCAGAUAUGGAUAAUACUAUGCAUCAGACAUUUCCACAAGAUCUGAUGCAUGACAGCACUGUAAUUGGUGGUAUUGAAACUGCGGAUACAUUUGGAGGACUGCAGAAGCCCACUGAAGAAGAUUUUUUAGUUGAACAAGAUAAUCUACAUGAAGAAGUUCCCUAUAUCGAAGACAAUCUGCCAAUCACAGGGAAUGGAUCUGAGGUCAAUGAAUUCGGUCAACCAAAGGAUUUGCUGGAUUGCAGCAUGUUCAGUGCCGGUAAUUCAGGAAUGGAACCUCCGUGUUCGCUUGAUCAAAUUAAUAAUGACGGGGUACAUUUGUGUUCCCCAUUUGAAGGGAAUCAGGUUUUAAAUGUAACUGCUUCAGAAAGCACUGCAUCAUUUCAUGACUUGGAGUAUUCAACUCAACUUCCUGAAUCACAUAUCUGGAGCACAGUUCCAGCAACAUCCGUGCCGGUUGAUAUUGGCCCCAGAGAGAAUGAUACUUGUACAAGAGAUUCUUUUGAACUUCUUGACGUUAUUGGUGCCAAGAACACUACAAUAUCAGGAUACAAUGUUGACCUGGGGCCAGAAGUCAAAGUCAGUGAUUUCAAGAGUCCGGCUAUUACUGAUGUUUAUUUGGCAGAAUUGUCCAAUUCCCUUUUAAACUUUACAAAUGAGGAGGAACUCAUGUUCAAAGAUGAGAUCGAUAAGUCAUACUAUGAUGGCCUGAGCUCACUUUUGAUGAGUUCUCCAAAGGAUGAUAUUGAAGAACACAUGAUUAAUCGAAUUGAGCCUGGGACAUCUAUGGCUCCACCUAUGUACCCUAUGGAUCCCUCUUGUAUAGGUCCUGCACUGGCAGAUGACAUAAGGGGGUCCCUCCCUGAUGAUGAUAUGAAUUGCCAUCCAGAGAUGCUGAUGCAAUCAUCUCCAACAGCUUCAAACUCUCAGUUUCCUGAAUAUAAAGAUGGAGUUAUCUGUUGCACGUUGAAUACUGAGGAAUGGGAAAUUCCAUGCAACGAUGAUGUGAUUUUUCACAAUCAUGUGCCAUUGUCAUCAACUCACUGUAAAGUAAAAGAAGACAGUGAGCCAAAGCCGAUAUGUGCAUCUGUUAAGGAUCUUACUGUUAAUCAAAGAAAGGGUGAUACUAGAAGAAAGGUCCCCAGCUUAAUGCCAAAAGAACAAAGGAAUCCUGGAAAAUCACACUGUAUACUAGAAGUGAGUUCAAAACAACCUCUGAGUGAUUUUGAGCCGUCCAAGACUAACCCGGUUGAUGUGGCUUCUACAAGUACAUGUCAUGUCAGUGGUAAUUGGGGUCAAAUUGACUCGGCUAAAGCAAUCACAAAUCCUCUUCCCGGAAUUAUGGAGGAAGACAGUACAUUGACAAACUGUCUUGGGUAUACCUCAACAGAGUCUCAUAUGGCUCACCCACAUCUUGAUUACGAUUGCGUUAGAAGCUAUCCUGAGCCAUAUGCUACUGAAACUGAUUGGGAACCUGAUGCAUCAGCUACAAUUAGAGAUCAUCCAUCAUUACUUGCAGAAGUUGCGCCUAUGGAUGAUGCUGUCUUAGAACCAGAAGUAAACCCAAUGACAUCAGAUUUUGAGGGUCUUUUAGAGAGUGAUGAUGAUAUACCAUGUUAUUCAGAUAUAGAGGCAAUGGUGAGUCCUCAAAUGCCUGUUAUCUAGUUGAUAAAUGCUUGUUUUGCUUUCAUUGUCCUAGCUAUGUUUCAAUUUCCUUUAUUUUUGUUCCACCUGCAGAUACUUGACAUGGAUUUGGAUCCAGAUGAUCAAGAAAUGUAUUCUGGUGAGGAAGGUAAUACUCAGUCGAGCUUCUAUCUGUUUAGUGAUCAGCUUAUUACUUGUAUGUUCAUACUAGUUAUAAGCUGGUAAAUCUAUUCGCCUAAUAACUGGUACAGUUUAGUUUUAUGUGUAAAGUAUCCAUAUGAAAUUAGCUUCUUCUUUGGGUUGGCCAUGUAUUGUAAUUUACAUCUAGAGAGAUGUUAUAUGCUUUUAUAUGAUAUAUGUACGCUCAUCUGACACAUCAGAUGGUAAGUGUUCCAUGAAGUAGGAUUAUUCUUGGUCUACACUAGUUUGCAUCACAAUAGAUGAUGUCCGCAUUACUCUUUUUUGAAAUAGAUUCUGUAGUAAAGGAAAAGGAUGAAUUACAUAUUGGAUAUACUGGGUGCAGUUGGCGCUUCCUUAUUGAAUGAUCAUUAACUUUGAGUUCCACGCUAUAUACACACAUAUAUCAUACAAACUUUUCUUUUCCUCCCAAUUUCCGUAUUCAACUAAUAUUUUCGUUUUUCAAAUUCACUAUUUUUUUUGUUAAUUUUGAGUUCUCUAUAUGUAGUCUCAAGAUACCAGGAUGAGGACACUAAGAGAGCAAUCAUGAGACUGGAGCAGGGUGCUUAUUCGUAUAUGCAGAGAGCCAUUGCAUCUCACGGAGCAUUUGCCAUUUUGUAUGGCCGCCAUUCAAAGCAUUUUAUUAAGAAGCCUGAGGUAUUGGAAUUAGUCUUGAAUUCUCUUCAAUCCUAAUUGGGACUAUUCUAUGGACCUUCUUUGGGAUCUCUCUCUCUGUCUGUCUGGGUUGGGUUUGGGAGAGAAUCAUAAAUUGUUGAAUGCGAUUUCUCUCUGUUUAAUUUAACUCCUCGUCUUCUAUAUUGUCCAAGUGAUCUAGGUACAUAUGCAUUGGAGCGAUAUUAUUUUUAUUAUUAUUAUUUUAAAAAUGAUGGUUUUGAUUCAUGUAGUAAAUUCACUUUUGAUCAUAAAUAGGGUUUUUGAAAUUCUUUAUUCCAAAAUUACUUUUAAGAGACCAGAGUAAGGUAUCGGGUCACAUAAUUUGUCGAAGUAAGUCAGUCAAUAUUUCAUGUGAUGGAGUUGUGACUGUAUAAUUUUUGACCUCCACAGGUGUUACUGGGUAGGACAACAAACGAUCUUAUUGUUGACAUUGACUUGGCAAGAGAAGGGAGUGGUAAUAAAGUCUCUCGGCAACAGGUAUGAAUACUUAUAACUUAUUAUUCAUAUCGUUCAUACCAUUAUCCUUCCAACUGUUUGAAGCACAUAACUUCAGAUCUGUUUAUAUGUUAUAUUUAUUUAGAAUUAGAUGUUCUCAUAUUAUGCUGUUCAUAUCUUGUUUCGAAUCCUAAAAAGGCAUAAGUUCUAUGUCGUAAUGAAAUCACUACAUUUUUCUUUUCUUCUUUUUUUAGGCAACAUUAAAGAUGGAAAAAGAUGGAUCCUUCUAUCUGAAAAAUCUUGGGAGUUGUUCAAUCUCAGUAAAUAGCACGGAAUUAACCCCAGGACAGAGUCUACGCCUUAGUUCCAGUUGCUUGAUUGAGGUAUGUUCUGACAGUUCCUUUUGGUAUAUAUACCAUGGAGUCAUUGAUCUCCUACUCUCCUUAUAGCUUUACCCUCAGGAUGGGGUUUUAUUUGCAAAGCAGUGUGUGUGUGUGCGUGCGUGCACGCGCAUGCAUGUCUCAUGUUAUUUUGAGUCAUUAGAGGCCAGGUUGUUUCUUAUAGAUUAUAGUUAUAUAAUUGGAGGAUCUCAAGCACCUAUAUCAUGUCAAGAGACCAGGCUCGAAAAACACUAAUGAUAUUGUAGUUAAGUUUCUACUGCUUGUAUGAAUAUCAUUUCUUUAGACGUAAACUAAAUGUUUCAUCUCCGCAAAUGGUCAACUUGCAGAUACGCGGAAUGCCAUUCAUAUUUGAAGUGAACGAAAUUCGUGUGAAGCAGUAUCUAGAUAGCAUAACUCAAGCCUCAAGGUUAGCACAAGACAACAUCUGCGUAGGGCAAUGAAGUUGCCAUGAACGGUGAUGGGUGCAGAAGGCGCUAAUUUUUCUGCACCUUCUGGGUUCCCUAGUUAACCCAUUUUUUCCUUUCUCUGUUGUAUCACCUGUAUGUAACUAGUGCUGAUUAGGUUUUUCUUUUAACCUCCAUCUAACAACAAAGUAGAUGACUGUUGAAAGCGGGAUUUGCAAUAGAAGCCAGUUUUGUUUCUCAUGUUCACUUCUCUAAACUAUGCUGUACGUGUGUGGGAAUUGAGGGAAUAAUAACAGGACUGCUCUGAGUGAGAAAUAAAGAAAAUGAAAAUAUUAAAGGUUGCAGGAGACCAUCCAGUGAUGAAGGCUCCACUUCAUAGUUCAUAAACACAAGUCCUUCAACUCAACGAUGGAGGAUGUUACCUCAUCCAAAAGCAACCGUGCAUCUUUCGGAGCUGCUUCAGUGUUUUUUUUUUUUGUAUGAAAACCUCACUAGAUUAAAUGGAGAUGCCUCUAAUGCCCCUACGGUUUACAUAGUCAAAAAACAGCAUUAGGCUAGUUUCCAGAGGAACACUCUCCUCUCAGAAACAAACAUCUUUUAUUUUGUGACCAAAAUUUGUCACAGUAUUAGCUACAAAAUUACCCUCUCUUAAAAUAUGCUUGAAAUUAUAUAUAAUAUAAUGAAAGGAGGAGCUGCUAGCUUCAGUGUUAAUGGAGCUUCCUUUGCCCUGUAUUGGAUCUGGUUUUGAUAAGUUUGACUCAGGUAAUUGUUGUAUUAUCUGCUAUAGCCUUGGGACUUGAGAGAGGCAAAGAGAGAAGGUAAACCCCAUAUCGGUCCUAAUUUGGAGACAGAUCGAGACAGCUAGCUAGUUGCAGAAAUAGAAUAGUCCAGUGCCCAAGUGGGAAGGGACCUAGGAACCUUAUGGUCUGCAGAAUGAACAGCAUUCUGUCUGCUACUAAUAGCUAGGGCAAUGGUUAUAUCCUUAUCCUCUAUUCCGAUCCUAUGUUCAUAUUCGUUUUAUCAAUUACAUUAUACUAGGGCAAAAUUCCAAUUCAAUUCCUGGAAACUUGUAUAUAUCUCUCAGCUGAUACAUAUCCCUAGCUAGCUGAGUCUCAGAUCCUUCUUGAUCGAUCCCAAUGCCCAUGCGGUGCCCAUCUUAACCUUAUCAUCAGUUACUUAUCAUCCAUGGUGCUUCUGACCUCUGAAACUUACAUUGGCCAGAGUGAAUUUACUCUCAUCAAUCUGCAUGAUUCCCUAGUCUUUAUGGGAAGGUCCCAGAGAGGACUCAUCGAUCACUAGCUCACCUCGACUCUCACUUUCCAUCUAUAUAUUUGGCUUUGUUUAAGUCUGAGAAUAUAUAUUACAAGUAGAACGAAAACUGAUGAACAAGUAUUGAUGGAACUAAAUAAUCAAGUAUUAUUGUACUAGGGGAUGAUAUAUAUAAUUGAAGGCUAGCUCAAUCAAUCACAGCUAUAGCGCAUGCAUGUGUACAGCUUCAUAGUGACAAUUCGAACAUCCAAAGUAAUUCCAGAGAUAUAAUUAAGAAUAUCAAACUUCCAAAUAUAAUUAAUUAAUAUUGAGCAUUUUGUUGUUAAUGCAGAUCGAUCUGUUUUCAUUUCCAGAUGAGAGGUAUAGGAAUCAAACCUAAGCUGCAGAUUCUCUCGCCCACCCUUAUAUUCUUAAUUAUAUGUCGAGUCAUAUCAUGCAGAUCGACUUUGCCGCAAUGUGAUACCGAUCGACAUGUGAUCCUUCUUAUGUCGAUCGUCUGAUUUCAAAAUGAAUUCCAAAAUCAUUUAGUCAAUAAAAGGCUGUGUUUGUCGUUUAGUACCUGCUAAUUACGUCAUAUAAUCUUUUAGAACGUGAUAGAUCCGGAGCUAAACCUAUACUAGUAAAGGGGGUUACCAAAAACAUAUCUUGCAUGGUGAAAACAUAUAACAUGGUUUCGGGUGGAAAAAAUAUAUAAUUUUUGGUGUUUUGAUCGCUUGAAGUGUUGCUCUAUAGGUUCUAUAACUGUUAUUUGUAAUAGCUUGAAAGAUAAAUUUUUUUUUAAAAUUUUUUAUUAAAUAACUCACACACUCUUAACUCUUACAUAUACCGAUAAAGUUUAAACAUAUCUCUACUACUAUAAAGGAAAGCCCUCAAAAGCUUCACCAAAUUAUGUUAUUUCUAAAUUAUCUUUAUUAUGUUUAAUUAAAACAAUUAAGUAAACUGGACAUUAUAGUAAAAAGAAAAAAUAAAAUAAAAUAUCAAAAAUAUAGUACAUAAUUAUGAAAAUUAGGAAGUUACGAGUUUUAACUGCAACAAAAAACUCCCCACUACCCGUUAACUUCACAGAAAAAAAAAAGUACAGUUACAAAUAAGAAAGAAAAAGUAAUUACCUACUAACGACGUAUUCUACUCGCAGGUAUAAAGGCCAGUGAUCUUAAAGUUGUUGAUUUGAAAGAUACAUGCAUGAUCACUAUAGAAGUAACCUUACAUACAGAAAAUAUUCAGGUUAAUUGCUCAUCCCAUAUUUUUCAAUCAUAGUGGCCUAUAAUGCUGCUAUAUGCUUUAUAUGCAAAAGAAAAGAGAAAGAAAUGUGCAACAAAGUUUUGUAUGCCCUUAAAUUGACAUUUUCAAUGAAGGAAGUGCGCAACAAAGUUUUCAAGAAAGUUGCAAAAGCACAUACACAGUACUUGGUAUAUUGGAUUAUCCUCCGUAAUGGACUAUGCAUGCCUAACUAGGUGACCGAGACACCUUUUUACUCAUAAGCUUGGAGCUAGCAUUGUCAAGAUCCUAUAUAUAAAUGAUGCCAUGAACAAUUAGACAAAUAAUUGAUUCCAACAGAAUAAUUAGUUGCUUCUAAUUUAAUACUAAUUGAUCUUAGAUAUUUUGAUCACAUUGCACAAGGAGAUAAUUAGCAUUUCUAACAAUAAUAUUUAGCUUACUUGUUAAUACAUAAUUGAACUUGAACAAGUAAGCGAAAUUUUGAUCACUUUUCGUCGUUAUCAUUACUAAGUUCCUAACAUUUGUUAUCUUAGAUUCUUCUCUCUAUUACAUAAUUACUACUCCAAAGUCUCUAAAAAUUUGUUCAUUUGUUGAUCAUUUUUGCCCAUAUUGCGAUGAACCAAAGUGUAAUGUGGUAGGAAUAUAUAUCUGCCCAUGCACCAAUAAUUAAAGGGAUCUGCCCAUGCUACCAUGUAUCCCAAUUAUAAAAGGAUAGAUAGUAUAAUUUGUGUAUAAUUAGAGAUCGAAGAAAUGUUGGGACAUAUGAAAAAGGCUCAAAGCUAACUAGGAUGCACAAAGGAAAUUCUUUUUUUUCGAUACACACACAAAAUAAUUUCUUGCUCGAAUGUCUCCCCUCCAAAAAAAAAAAAAAAAAAAAAAAAAAAAUACUUGCUCAAAUGAAGAACAUAUAAUAAUAAACCACCCAAUCAAAUUGCUUCGAUUGUCUUCUGUAAAAUGCUAAGAUAGCAGCAGAGAUAGGUAACAUAAUGUACCUUACAUAUUUAUAUUAUUGGACCCAAGUUUAGAGCGACCUAAACUAAUUACCCUCUAGAUCUUAAUUCUUCCCAACUCAUAGCAUAACAUAAGUAUUUAAGCACUUGUUCUUAAUUAUCAAAAGGAAGAAAAAAGAUGGAAGCGCUUGCAUUCAUUUAUGAGCUAUAUAUGCAGUGGCGUAACCAGAAAUUUCGUUUAGGAGAGUCAAAACUUAAUAGCUAUUGAGUUGAGACAAAAAAAAUUGAGGACGUAUUCUACCUUGUAAAUAAAUAUAUAUAAUUGACAUCAAUCAAAAGAAGAGGGAGGCGAAGUUACAACAAUAUAUAGUUACCUACUGAAGUAUACGAAAAGAAGAAACUAUGUAUUGCUAGAGACCCUAGACCAAGAAUUAGAGACUCUGACGUAAACAUACAUGUCUCUAACAACAAUCAAACUGAAAAAUAACCAAAAAACUAAAGUAUGACGCUGCUAGAGAGAUGUCUGAUUUCUUCAGGCACUCUCCUUAACUUAUUACCUUUGAAACCAUCGAGCCGUAAUAAAUUAUCUUAUUAGAUUGAUCAAAUUAGAGAAUAUUGACUAUGAUUUCGUUACAACUAGAAAUUAUCUUUCCUUUGCAUUAAAUAUAUACAAAAACUAGAAAAACAUUACAACUAAAACUAAAGAGACAAAAUUAUGCAUUUAAUUGAGCCAAAAAAGCAUUAUUAUCAUUGGUUAGAACUUAAUUAGAAGGGUCAUUAUGCUAUUAUAUAUGGAAAGUUAAAUAAAUCAAACAUUUAUAUUAAAUAUGAGAAUGAUCAAUUGACCCUUCUCGCCCCCCCUCUUCCUACGCCCCUGUAUAUAUGUAUACGUAUGUAACGCGAUCCAGGCCAAGACUCAACAUUUGCAACGCUAGCAUUCAUUAAGCGAGGUGUCACGUAAUUAAUGCAUCUUUAAAACCGAAUUAAUCAUAAUUAUGUAAUCGUUAAUUUUUAUUUAUUUAAUAAAAAAAUUCAUGUAUUGAGCUCAAACACCACUUUUAUGAACAGAUUUUACACACAAAUGUACACUUAUAUCAUCCCACUUGAACUCUUACGUACAAAUCUUCAAGUAGACUUCAGAUAUAUUCCAUCCCAAAUUCCCACCUCAGAGAAAAGCGCAUUAUUUGAUCACUUUCGCAACAAGUUAUUGCCUGUGAUGGUAUGCAUGAUGGCACAAGAGAAAAUAGCUACGAUCUUGGGUGGUGUGAUUUCACUUUCCAUAUUAAUAUUUGCCCUAAUAUUCCUCCAUGAUUUUCGAGGUUUUAGUUUAGUAAUGUGGACUGGUCAUGGCUGGUGGCCUGGGAUUGAACUAGCUGUACCAACGUUAAAAAUUACCAGCAGCUUCGAGGCCUUCUUGUUCUGAUAAAUCUAACCAGUUCUUGCUAGAUUUCCCAUGUUGGCAACAUGGGCAAGAAGCUAAAGGUCCCAGAAAAUUGGUUUUAUACUCUAACCCUACUAGGAACAAUCCAAACCGAUUUACUUGGAGUACACAAUCAAACCAAUAUUGUUUAAUAUGAGAUGAGAUAGAGAACAGCAUGCUCAUUUCUGGUGUGGCAAAUGGGGACAAAACACAGUUCAUGGACCCCGUACAAGUUCAGAGUGAAAAAAUGCGGGAAACUGUAAAUUUUGAUCGGUAAUUUAAAACACCACCCACCAUCCCUCUCCCGUUUUGCUUGCUCCGAUGAUAAAGUAGAGUCCUCAAAGAUUUCCCAGAUAUCGUACGCGUUGUCAAUAUUUUAUUACCUACUAAUUCAGUGCGCCACCUGUUUUAGUGAUUCCCUUUAUAUUUAUUAUUCUCCUCUGGUCUUUACCUCAUUUUCUUCCUUUCUCUCUUAAAAUAGCUUCAAUCCAAAUCUCCCUUUCACUUCUGCAUGUUCAGCCUAGCAGCCUAGGCCAGUUCUAUCUUCAAAUCCUCAUCAUUGUUUUUCAUAGUCAACUUUUACAUAUGAAGAUCCAGUGUGACGUGUGCAACAAGGACGAAGCGUCGGUGUUCUGCACCGCCGACGAGGCUGCUCUCUGCGACGGCUGCGACCACCGUGUCCACCAUGCCAAUAAGCUCGCCUCCAAACACCAGCGCUUCUCCCUCAUCCACCCCUCCUCUUCCAAACUCUCCCCUCUCUGCGAUAUCUGUCAGGUAUUUGAUUCAUCUGUGUUUGUUUUAAUCACAAAAGAUCUCGGUACAUAGGUUAUCAUCCAACCGCCUGCUUAUAACUUGUAUUUUAUUUGUUACCGGUCUGAUGUGAGUUCUCUCCUCUCGAACAUCUCUGAUUCUGUGAGGUGGAUUUUGUAGGAGAGACGAGCUUUCUUGUUCUGUCAGCAGGACAGAGCAAUCUUAUGUAGAGAGUGUGACGUUCCGAUUCACUCUGCAAACGAACACACACAGAAGCAUAAUCGCUUUCUUUUCACAGGGGUCAAGCUCUCUGCUACCUCUACAGUUUACACAUCUACUGAGUCUGCUGCGGUUACUGAUCCCAAGCCUCAGCCUUUGAUCAAUAAGAAGCAGCCUGUUCCAGUUUCCUCAUCUAUUUCAAAUCCCUUUUCAGUUCCCAAGAUUUCAACUACUACUACUACUACUACUUCAGUUCCCAAGAUCUCAACUAGUACUAAAAGUGGUGCAAGUUUGAUACCAAAUGAUGGGGUUGGAUCAGUGAGUAGCAUAUCAGAGUAUUUGACUGAGACGCUUCCGGGUUGGCACGUUGAGGACCUUCUUGAUAUUUCGUCUAACCAUCCCUUUGGUUUCUGUAAGGUUUGCAUUGAUAUGAUCGGUCUCUAUCCCUUUGUUGGUUUUAGUUAAGUCUUGUUGGAAUCACCAAAGUUGGGUUUUCAUCAUUCUUGUCUAUAUGGAUCUGACCUGGUUGAUUGAUUUGCAGGCUGACAAUGAAGCUUUACCCUAUUUCGAUGAUGAUAUCCAAAGCAAUCUCAGCUCUUUCUCGUCACAGAACCCAGGGAUUUGGGUCCCUCAAGCAUCAAAUCCUUCUCUGCAACAUUCACAAAUGGGGUUCAAAGAGACCACAAAGGAGGCUGCUACAAAUAUGAACAUGAUCAAAGCCAACUAUAACAGCAAUCACAUCUCCAAUUACAGAUCAAUGUGGAACGUCGACGAUAGCUUCACAGUUCCUCAGAUUAGUCCUCCAUCUGUUGGCUCCAAGAGGUAUAGACCUUUUUGAUACAACUUUUUAACUUCCAACAACCCGGUUCUUAGAUCUUUUCGAAUGUUAAUUUCCAACGGUUGUAAUUUUGUGUCAAUUAUCUUUCGGUUUUUUUCCUACUUUUUGUAUGGAAGCCUGCUUCAUCAAAGCUAGAUGAGGUUCAGCUAGCUCUCCUUGCACUAGUCAUUGUAAAUAUCAAAGAAUUUCUGCAGCUUGCUUCUGCUUUUCAACUUUCAUUCAAUUAGCUAAUCUAUGCAAAUGGAAAAAGUUGCAUUAUUAUUGGUGUUGAAAAUGUGUGAAAUUGCAACAGUGUUGUACCUCCAAGAACUCAAUACUAGUUGACUUGGACUCUAAGGUUUGUUGUAAGCAUGACAGUAGUAAAAGUUUUCUAUAUGUUCUGGAGUAUUGAAACUCGACGGGUAUGAGUUGUUAGAUUAGUCCAUUCAAUAUAUGUUGAGCCAAUCUAACGAUUCAUGUCUCUCAAUCAUCACUUGAGAACUCUGUAGAACAUUUUCAGAUUACAGAUAUUUGAUAAGGUAAUGAUGUGGAUGAUGAGCAAGAACAGGUAGGCAAAAAGGGAUGGCCUUGUCUUAUAGUGAAUGCAGAACCAUUUUCUUUGGUAUAUAAAAACGCCAAGUGCGGCCAUCACUUUCAUCACAAAACUAGAAAGAUCGAUUUGGGUGCUCUAGUUUUUCUAGUAAUCUUCUCAUUCCUCAGCAAAAUGCUCCAGUCUGGUCUCUGGAGCUAAUAGCCUCGCUCCUCUUUUUGCCAGCUAAAGUUGGUUACUACUAUUGCCUAAGAUGGGGCUCAAAUUCUGUGCCCCAUAGGAGAGUCCCUUUCGAAUUCAAAACGUCAUGGCAAACGUAGGUGGUUGUGCAUACGAGCUAAGAGUACUCCCCACCUAAUAAUGAAAAAAGUGAUUAUUUGAUCUUGACCGGUAGAAAUAGGUAGGGAGAUUACUCCCCACUCCCCACACCAAAAGAAAACAAAAAUGUUGUUGGAGAGGCACAUUCCUCGGUUCACACGACGCUAUUCGAAUAUUCUGUAGUCCAGUUAACAUCGCGAUGUGAAUGAUCAACGAUGUGGUCGUCAUGAGAGACGAGAGAAUGAAGCAAAGCAGUGAGUCGUUGAGAAUGAUAACUUGGGGGUGUGAUUUUGUGAUGGUGCUGCUUGUAUUGUACGGUCAAGAACACAAAGGGUUGCUAUUGUCCCGGCCAAUUUAUAGCCACGGCCCCUGUUUGUCUUUCAACAUUGAGAUGAAUAUGUAUGAAGGUUAAUCCGAUCUUCCAUUCAGUUGAGGUGGUUUAACAUCAGUAGGUCAGGGAGAGAGGAGACCUUAUUCUGUGCUCUAAACCAAAACUUGACAAUGAAGAAAGAUAAGAUUUUGGUCUUCUUUUUUUCGAAGAUUUUGGUCUUCUUUUCACUCAAUAUGUAGAAAAGGAUACUUCAAAGAAAGUUUGAAAAUAAUUUGGGGAAAUAGUCGUCACUUUCAAAAACAAUCCACGUGUUGUUGAGAGAAUUGAAAUCUCAAUUGUGUACUAAUGGACCGGUUUGUGUCAAACUCAUUUGAUAUAGCAUACGAGUUUUAUAAAAUGAAAUUAAAAGGUGUAUCAUAAAUGAAAAACUGGUAAACUUUUCUCUGUUCUGAAGGUAAAACUAUCUGCACAAGAAACACGACGAAUAGCCAUAGUAUUCCUUGCUCUGUAAAUGAAUGACCUAUUUAAGAGCGCACAUAUACGUAAUACAAACAACUUUGGCUAAUGGACAAUGCUGAUUACCAGCUGACAAUGAAUUGAACAAACAAACUCGACAACUAGAUAACCUCAGCGUGAAAACACAAACAGUAGCCAUCGGAUAGUAGAUUUAAAAGACUGCGGCCACCUUGCUCGCCUGAACACGUUCCCGCCUUUCUACGUAGUUAACCGGGAACCAACCUGCUUUUCCCUUGCACUCACCUUCAGCCCAACCGUUGUUUGAAACCUGCUCAAGCACAUGAGAAUUUAACUUCAGUAUGAAAGAGGGAAAAGGAAAAAAGAAGUCAAAUAUAUGAGGAAUAACGAUGGCAGUACCUUCCGGACAACAACAUAAUCCCCGAAAGACAAACUUAACUCCACAUCAGUUACACCUUGAAAUGUGUACAUAGCCUGUUGCAGUUAAAAAGGAACAAUUAGUAGAAAUUAUACAGUGCAAAAGACUAAAACUUGGCAUCAACCACACAAGUAUCAGUACCUCUCCUAAGAAAUAGUCCCUGAUGUCUGUUAAAUCAUCAUGGGUUUCAGAAGUAAAGUCAUGGUUGACCUCUUCAUAUGAGGGUGGUGGAGGCAUAGUAUUCUCUGCAGCUGGACUGGGCGAUGCUUCAAUUCGUUGGUGUUCUGACAACAUCUGUCCAACAAAUAAUGUCUAUCAGUCCCUACUUAAAAGUAACAUAACACUGAUCAAUAAAUGAACUGGAACCCUAAAAAGGACAUCUCCAAGAUAUUUCAUACCUCCCCUUCAAGCCGAUUAAGUAUCUGGAGGACAUUCUGAUGAUAAUUGCGCUCCGCUUCAACCUUGAAUGGGAAAGGGAAUAGAACAGAUGACACUCACAAAGUUAAUUUCCUUUCUCUUUGUAAAAGAAAGAUAAAAACAGGACUCGAGUAGGAAGGGGACAUGAAUGAAUUACCAUGGCAAUAAGUCGCUGAAGAGUCAACCUCUGUUGUUGACCUUCUACAGCUGCCAUUGCUGCAGCAGCUUCUUUUCCCAAUAUUGCAACAUUGGAUUUUAGCUCCUGAAGUUUGGCUUCGGCAGCUUCUAGUUUCAUGAUAACAUCUGAAUUACCUGCAGAUUCCCUCACUUUGACUUGCCGUCUGGAAACAUCAAUAGCCUAUCUGGAUGCGAGUUAGAAUACACGGACGACAACUAUGUAGGAGUAAGAAAAGAACAAAGUUUCCGCUUAUGAAUUGAUUUUAACUACAUAUAAACCCUAUAAGUUUCCACAAGAUACUAAUCUAGUUCUGAAAAGCAUCAAGUUAGAAGCUUGCAAUUUGAAACUGUUCCCAUAAAAUUGUCACAAUAGACAGAAUGGGUAAGAAAAAGCAGUGGUAAAAGACAAUACUUAUAUCCAGCAAAUCCGCCAACUAUGUAAGCAUCAUUUAAUCCCUACAGGUAGGAAACAGAAGAUGCUGUUCAUUUACCUGAGCUUCAGCUUCUUGUCUCAUUCUACUGUAUCGUUGAGCAAGAUGUCGAGCAUCCUCCAAGGGUGCACCCACUACCAUCGCUCUUAAAGGCUCUGCAACCUAGAGAAACAAGUUGAUAAGUUAAUUACCACAGAAAAUGUAAUUAUACAAGCCUGUAGGAUGACAUGGGACUGAGCACACCAUCUCUGGAAACACACAUGCAACAAUAAGACGUGAUCUAGCUUCACAAGUACAUUUCACAAGGUCUUAAAUCUGAUAUACCCCAUCAGUUACUUUCCUAUUUCCCCCCUCAUUUAGCACAAUCUCCAAGCGCAGCACAUCUAACUAGGAACAAGGACAGCCACUAUCCAACUGCUACUAAUGUUUCUCAUCGUAAUUUCUAAAACUCAAGAAUGCUCCCCAUAUAAAGAAAAACGAUGAUCAUUCUUGAGUUUCACAUAUUCUAUGGUUGACCUUGUGUGAAUGCAUAUAAAUCACAGAACAAGAGUCCAGUCAAGGACAUUACUCUGUAAAUUAUUCCAGAGAAUCAAAAGCACCAAAAUAUAAGAAACUAAUAAUCAUCUUGUGCGAGUUCAUAUUCUAUCUACUGACCCUGGAAUGUAAUGCAUUUGAUUUUUGCUCAAGGACCACAGUAUUAACUUUUGUUAUACCUGCGUGCCAAGGGCUUUCAGUAGAAUUCCACACUCCUUUUCCAUUUGGGCACGAGCUCUUCCAAAACUCAGUGCAGCGCGGGAUAACGUGUUACCAGUGGUACAAGUUUUUUCAGAACCAUAUUUCCUGCUAUCUUCUGAUAACUUGGUACCUGUUGACAAUGUUACAUUCACAAUUCGCAUAAAAUAACCUGGAAAUUGUACCUGAAUGCCCAAUAAGGAACAACAGGCAACAUUUUAAGAAGCUCACCUAUUUCAACUAGCUUUGAACCAGUUACAAUAUACCCUUCCACACCACGCACGAUAUCCCUUUGGUAAUGCUGUUAACCAGAGAACAUUAUUAGUUAAAGAACGAUAAUGCUAUCUGAUAAUUACUCUUAAGAGUAUAAAAGAGUAGCAACCUUGCCGGCACGAGUCGAUAUGAACAACUUCUCGAGUUUCUGAUGCUGCUGGAGUUCUGUUUCGUCCACAACAUUAUCGGAACUUCCGUACAUGCCACCAGCAAAUUGUUUGAAGACAGCCUGAAAAUCAUCAAGGCCUUUAAAUCACAACAACAUACCAUCGAGCUUCUACUAACUACGCAUCAAAAUUCAAGGAUCAUCUGAUAUAAACAACAUAGAAAUUCCCGAAACCAAAAUGUAACCCCAAAACUCAAUAGCUACAAUAUUAUUCGAUCCAAUUUUGCUUCUAAAACAAGAAAUCCGAGUAUCAAUCUCAUAUCUACGCCGAUUAUCAAAGAAAUCGAUUCACAAACAGAUUCGAUCACGGAAAAUCAGAUUGUUUUGAAUCACAGAAGAAUCGUUCUUCUACGUUAAAUCUUUUUCCGAAGUGAAAUUGAAUUUUGAGAGAGAGAGAGAGAGAUGAAGAGUACCUGCUGCUGUUUAGCGACCUGAUCUCUCAGCUUCCGGAUUGUUUCCAUGGCUGCUGGGAACAAUGGAGGUUAGCUUUGGCUGGUUCUGGAGAAGACGAUUGGGUUUUUGAACUGGUUUUCAACUUUCAAAUUUCUGCUACACGAUUUUACUGCGGAGGCUGAUAAUUAAUCUUAUUUAGUUUGCCUGAAAAUGACCGCCACGUCAUUGUCGUCCUGCUAUUAGUUUUCUCCUUUGCUCUCUCUCUCUCUCUCUAACUUGAAUUGAACGUCAACUUUUGUGUUCAUAUCAUCGAGUGCUGCUUUUUCUUUACAACUGUUCAACAUCUCUCGUCGCUUUUCGAUUACAUAAUUGUGGUUCCGGCUGCACUUCAUCUCUCAGAUUAGUGAAAAACGGUGGGUAAUCUUUGUGUGAAGAUUUUACUUUUACUGCGGCCCGUUCUAAUUCUUAUGGCCCGUAAUAACAAGCCUGCUUCAUUAUCACAUGUGAAACCAGGCUUUCGGCUCGUUCCACAAAUUGGCCCAGCUAAACUUUUGGGCCUAUUCACCUUUUGGCCCAUUUCAACUGUUACCAACAUAUUUGUGGGACAAUAUGUCUAGUUUUACUCUACUCACCCAUUAUAGCUUUGAUUGCUCGAUGACAAGUCUUUAAUACGCUGCAUGUAUUUACAUAUGUUAUGUAUAUGGCUAAGACUAUAUGUCAUCAAUACAAAUGAUGUUUGGACAGUUUUGGAUUAUGAUUGCACCGUGUAAUUGCACCGCCAUAUAUACAAAAUUUCUUAUUGCUUGACAUCACAUAAAUGACGAUUACAUUAACAUAUUAUGCCCUUAAAAGCUUUCAAGAUUUAUAGUAACAUUUCUAUCGUCAUUUUGUUCGAUUAGCCAAAUCAUGGUUAACCGUUGGAACUAGUACUUCAGUCGACAAAAAAAAGGAAUUAGUAUUUCAUCAAAACAACAAUCGUUGAAAUCAGUACAAACGAUGUGACAAAGUAAGAUCAAUGGAAUUGCAAAUGAAUGCGUAGCAAGCUUAGAAGACAUAAACUAGGGUUUAAUGGAACUGAAAAUUAACCAAACAUAGCGGGGACGAUGAUCAUCGACGUCGACAGUGAGCCUUGCACAUAUCUUGGCAGUCGUAGUAGCAAGGUCCUCCACAGUGAAGAGGGCAAUCCAAUCUCUUCCCUUGACACAUCCCUUUACGCAUGCAUUGUGCAAACUCUCCUAGCUUGUAAUGAUCCUCACUGAACCUCCCCGUCCCCCGGUACACAUGUUGAUGCCUUCUUCCUCCUCCGUUUCCGCCGCAACCCCACUUCCACCAGCCACUCCCUCCUCCUCCUCCACCCCAUCCCCACCCGCUACCUCCACCACCGCCACGUCCUCGACCACCACCACCUCCACCUCCACCUCCACCUCCACCUCCACCACCCCAACUCCACGAGUAGCCUCCUCCUCCACCGCCUCCACCGCCUCCACUACCUCUACCACCACCACCACCACCUCCUCCUCCACCACCACCGCCGCCUCCUCCACCUCUUCCUCUAUUCAUCCAAGAGUGUUUGUUUUUGCUGUUGAUAACAACUUCAGUAGUGUUAGAAGCGCUCUUGUUUCUUGCUUCUGUUGUGUUGCCUUGAUCAAAAGCAAGAGUGCCUGCUUGACUAGUAGCAGUGCCAUUUUCCACCUUAGCAUUACCUUGUGAACCAACAAUGGCUAUGGAAAUAAGCAAGAUAGCCCAUAAGUUUCUCAGUGUAUCCAUGACGCACUAGAACGUACGAGGUCGGAAAUGAGAUGCAAAAUGUUUGCUGGGUGACCAUGGCAUAGUUCCAGACUUCCAGUUAUAUAAUGCAAGUACCAACUACAAAAGGUGGACGAAGAUACGAAUCGUGCUCUUGACAACUAAAGACUUUUGUCCCCACUCGACUCAAAUCUCUAAGGAAACCCAGUCCUGCUCUCUCAACUCUCAAGCUCACCGGCCAAAAGGAGAUGCCUUGCGUCUCACUUUUGUCCCCCACCUGUGACUUGCAGUGACUAAUACAGCUAGGCUGGAAGCUUGGCCUCGCCCACUUGAAUGGCACGCGCACAGCUAGCAAGACCGUCUCAGACUACUAACCUCUACCUACUAUUUUCGAGUUAGGUAUUGGACCUCUUCUAGUUAGAGUAACAGGGUUAUUUUGGUUGUAUCAGAGGUUCGGUUUUAUCGACAGAAAAGGAUCCGGCUCGUCUAAAGUGAGGAUAAUCGAACUUUUACCUGGUGACAAUAGUAUGUUCAAAUAACAAGUUACUCGCGAUGAUUAGUAAUCCCAUGCCCUACAAUGCGAGUACGUACUGCUGUACUCAUUGCAUUUUGCUUGGCCUUUAAGCCUGCUGGACCUUGAAGGAAUAGUGUAUAACAAUACCAAGCAACAGUAUAGUGGGGUGCCAGCUACAAUUACAAGUUUAUAUGAUGCCCUCAUGUCCAUGUUAAAUAUUAAGCACCUAACCUCUGGUGAUUAUUGUUGCCUUGGCUUUGGUUUAGGGGCAAAAACAGAGUAAAAUGCUAAGCAGUGUGCAAAAACAAGAACAAUUUACUAUAAUGGGAAACUGCAAAGUGGUGAAAGUUGAAAAACUGGGUAUGAUUGAACAUUUAUUCUGAAGUGUCCAGCUUUGGAGUCGGAAAUGAUCAUUUAGACCAGGGGACCAAAUGCUCAGGCACUCAGUGAGGGCUGGAGCAAAGUGCAUGUGAGUGUUGCCUUCCAUCAUGGCAACAGAAACCAAGAGAGUAAUGCUAAAAUAUCAUCAGAAAUGUGAUGAUGCUGAGCUCAAUACCACAAAGAUAUGAUGUAUGAGAAACUGGCGGUUAAGAAGCCUGGUAUCCAAGAGUGCUCAUGUUUCCUUAAACUAAUCUAGCAUAUCGUCGACAUUAUCAAAUUAAUUCUAAUAAAAGUAUGCCUUUGCACUCGUUACAUUGUUAGAGAAGCCUUGAUCACUUGGCUUAAAAAAUAACAAGUGAGGUGGGGGUGUUGUUUCUCAUCAUCACCCACCAAAUCGACCUUCCAACACUGUCAUCUCUAAUUCUCUAUACCCCAAUUGAUUUGCAAUACAGAAAUUAAUCAGUUCAUUUCUAUACAGAUAAACGAAAAGAAAUCAAGUUAGAACACAACAGAACCAGACGCGGAUCUAGGUAGGAGGUUGGUGAGGCUCAAGCCCAACCAAGAUUUCAUAAAUAAAUUCACUAAUACAUGUUAAACCUGCAUGAAAGUUGACAUUGCAACCUUGGUUUGGCUUAUCUACUAGUUUCCUUGCCCAACCGGGUUCAACUCCCGGCUCUUGAAGACUCAUUUUUCUUUUAUAAUUCAUAUAUUAUUUUUCUUAUUUCUUAUUCUCCCGAUGAAUGUUGGGCUCAGAGUGGGCGAUGUGUCUUCCUUGUGUGUGGUUUUGUGUCGAUUAAGUCAUUAGGGCUUCAAUUCUUAGGGGAUAACAUUAUUUUACUACCCUUCUCUGUAAUAAUAUAUCCAAUCUCUUUAUAUUUUUAGUCGGUACAAAAAAAGAUUAUGUCUAUUUUAGAUUUGGUUUUAAUUGAAAUCUUUUCUCAAACUCUUUCAUAAUAAACAUUUUUUUUUUCUUUCUUUUAGAUAAAUGUGUUUUAGUUAAAUAUUUGACAUUGCAGCAAAUUUUCUUAUCACUUCAGUCAAUUAGAAUAAAAAAAAAUUACGCCCGCCCGAGUUCUGAAUCCUGGAUCCGUCACUGAACAGAACUAGGAAGAAGGGACAGAACUGGUAAUGGGAACAUGGCGAAAACUGUGUCAGCCGAGCUGUUCUAAUUUGUUUUCUUUUCGUCAGCCGAGCUGUUUUGUUCCUGCGGUGUUUUAUCUUCUGCGUCUUCUUUUCUGAAAACAGGGUGGUAAGACUCAAGUUCAAGUAGCUCCAAGAUCUGUUUUGUCUUCCAAAGAUAGGAUGAAUGGCCUUCUACAAAUUGUGUUACAUCAACCUGCAAAGCGAAUGGAUAAGUAAGUUUAACAGUAAAAGAGACACAACUGCAAAUAUAAGACGGGAUUUCGAAUUAGAGAAUUAGAGAACUUGCAUUUUCGAUGCCAGGAACAUUGACAGCUUGAAUUCCAGCCAAACCUUGAGAUAGCAAACUGUACAAGAUAGACCCCAUUUGGUAUCAGAUUUGAAACUAGCUUAAACGUUUUAUAUAUGUAGAAGUAGUAACCUGAAUACAUAUCUUUGAUACAGAACAUUUUAUGAAUUAAUAACAUUAAUACCUUGCACGGAAGGCAACUCCUAGUGUCCAAUCAUUUGUAGAAAAAGCAUUCACAAAUCUCCCUGCCACCAUCUGUGAACCAGAAAUAGGUUUAGUGUUACUUGUACAAACAGUACCAGCACCAAAGAAAACUUGCAUAGAAAACCAAUCAAAAGUAUGUGAAACAGAAUAGGUCGAGUGGUAUUUGAAAGAUUAGUACUAUAGUAUUUGCACAGACAAAACUUACAGCAGAAACCAAUUUGAAUAUGGAAACAAAAAAACAGACAAGUCUACCUUCCGGGCAUCUUCCCAAUUUUCAUCUUCAAUUGACACUGGUGCUCCAAGUAGGACAACCCUUUCUACCAGACCAGCUAUACAAGUGCAAAAUCAAAAGUAUAUUUGAGUACAUAACAACUAAAAUUACAUACAGUAAGAUGAAUCAGAUAGCGGUGGUUACCGUUGUUCCCUUCUGCUUCAGCUAAACAUUCCAGACAUUUAAAAACCACUCUGCCCCCAAGUGAGAAUCCUAUUAGAGUCACGGGCCUGGACCAUCAAUGGAGAAUCUAAGUGAACGAUACAUAUAAUUUUUCAACAAGUGAGAUGGAACACAUCUUUUUUUACCUGUUGCCUUGCAGUCCCUUCAACAAUACUUCAGCGAGCAUCUUCCCAGCUUUAUCUGAUCUGAGCCAGGAAAACUGAAUUUAAUAUUUUUUGUCUCCCACUCCAAGUAUUAAAAACUCAAAUUGCCAAUAAUAUCAAGUGCAUCAUAUGAGUCCCAUGGUCUCACCUUGAAAGCUGAUUAUAUAUGAAACACAUGAUAACUAUAACAACUUAAGCUGAACUAAAAUUUGCAAGGGGUGGAUAGCAGUCAUAGCACCAGAUGAAUUUAGCAUUGGCACUUUAAAUGAGUCGGUUCAUUGUGGAAAUGAAGUGGAAAAGGGAUAAUUUACCUGUCAGCUGCAAUCGCCCAUUUGCUAUCAAUAAGAUCAGAUGCAGUAACCAAGGUUGCUGGCAUAGCAAAAGCUGCUACAAGUGUGUUUAAUACGGUCAGCAUGGCACCUUCUUUCAUCAACUCGAGGGCAAUUCCUGCAACAGGAUGCAAUAGUAUUGGUGGUGGAUAUGCCGAUAGUCAGUUAGAAAAGGUGACAGAUAUGAGGUUAUGGAAGUACUUGAAGUAAGCCAGUCUUGGAUUGCAGUGCUCAAUGCAACCAAAUUCUUAGACUCCCACCACAGUGCAUACCUAAAAGUUCACUACAUCAAUACCGAUUACUUAGCUAGUAAUGAUAAGUCAGAUCCUAUCUAAGGCUUCUAAAGGACAGGAUACUUCCAAGUGAAGAAUUAGCAAAUAAAUAGAAGGUCUUCUUGAGCACAAAAAAAAAAAGAAGAGAAAAGUUAACUACACUAAGGUUCGUCAUGAUCUUUGAUGCACAUGAUAUGAUAUAUUUUCUUACCUCUCCAAGUGGUCAUUGUAGCCUUCCCAAGGCCUUACAAAAUCUUCAUCCUCAAACACAAGUCCUGAAACCACUAUUCCCACUCCUAGCCGCUGAAAAGGUUUACUGAAAUCGGUAAGCAUUUCAUUCAUAAAAGAUGGGGUUAUGCCAUAAGAACAAUCUCCAUUCAUUAUUACAAUAUCAUAAGAAUCCCUUAGGAACAGAUCACAACUCCCUACCCCCAAAAAACUUUCAAAGUAAUUAAUAAAACCAUUAAAAUGUCAAACUUGAACUCACUCCUUGGUUAUAAGUUCCUUCAACUGCUUUGAACUCAAAUUCUUCAAUGUUGCCGAUUCUUCUAGCCAUUUUAGUCCCGGUUAGUCCAGCUCCAGCAGCUGAGAUUGUGAGAAAAAAGUAGUUAAGUAUCCGCUCCAUGCCCCUUUCUUUAGAUUGAAGACGUAACAUCUCUUAAUUGCUGCCCCCAAAGCAUGAAUUCUGUCUAAAUAAGACUGUGCUUCAUACAAACUUCAAAGUCUAAGACAAAAGGUAAUUGGCUAAUCGCUAACACAGAUUUUGACACAAGGUAUCAUAAACUGCCAAUCUUCAAAUGGCUGAUUGCUUUAACAAUCACAGGAACUUUUUAAUAAAAUUCAAAUUAUAUUAAAACAAAAAAUCACUUUUGCACCUCCAAAUGAUGCAGCAACAGCAACAGAACCAGUAACAGACCCUGCGGCAGUUGCUGCAGCAGCGAAGCCAGUUGCUCCUAUUGCAGGAAUAAUGCCACCCAAGAUAGGAGCUAGAGCACUCAAUCCCUGAGCAAUUGCAGGAGCAGCUAGACCUGUGAAAAGAUCGAAGACAAAACAGAAUAAUCUACUGCUUCUGUCCUAAGAUUGUACAGCUAGACAGCCGAGUGAUCACUACAAAUUGACGGAUCUCAUACCACCGGUGAUAGCCAUUAAAGUUCCUCCUGUUAAAGCAGCUGCACCAAUUAGACCUCCACGCUUCCAGUUUUCCCAUGAGAUAUCAUCAUUUUCUUUUUUCUCUCCAUCAGCAUCUUCUGUCUUCUCUGCAUUAGCACUCUCUUUUAAGGAAGCCAUGAAAGAACAAGCAACCAUCGUCUCCAUAACUUCCUGAAAAAUAGAAUAUUCAUCAUAACUGACUAUAUUGACACAGACAUGAAUGACCACUUAACAAUGAAAAAAAAGGAACUGCUACUGUAUAGACGCACCACUUUUAGCCAUUCCACCCCAAGCCAAGUUGCCAGCAACCUCAGUGCAACGCGGUGUCGAGCAUCAUAACCGUUCCUUACUUUAUCGCCACUUACACUACUGUCUGCCACACAGGCUGACAAAAUUACAUAAAGAACUGUUAUUUUCUUCUCAUAGCUGAGCCGCCUUCCCUCCUCAACAGGCACGUCAAGGCGUUUAGAUUCAGUUGGAUCUUUUAUUUCAGUUGAUAUCACAGAAACGGUCCUCUUUGGGGCCUCAUAAGGCUUGUCAGCGACCUCAGAAGCUAUUUCAGUUUCAGUAUCGGAAAAUUUUUCACGACAUUUAGCUUCAUAUUCAUAAUUCUCACUUCUAUCCACUAAAUGAGCAUCGGCACUUUCCUCACUACGAACCAUGGUAUCAACAGUUUUUGUCAGAGCAACUUCCUUCUCGGAUUUCUCAGCAGAAGCCACCUCAGCUGUCUCCUCCUUAAGUAAGGUCAAGAACUGAACCAAAAUAACUAAAUCAAUACAACACCCAGCAAACUACCAACAACACAUAAAAAUGAUAAACCAAAAUUAAACUUGUGAGCCAAAAAUUCAAUAAAAAUCUGUACUCCUCUUCCAAGCAAACAAUGGAAAUCAAACUAACAGCGGUAACCUUCAAGCUGCAUUACAUUAAUCAUAGAUGAUGCCAAGAAUAAUGUAGUAUAAUGACACGUUUAUCGAUUUCAACAGUUCGAAAUUCAAAGAAAUAAGAGAUGAUGAAUGAAGAAAACACACCGCUCCUACAUGAUGCCGAACUUGUGAUGAAGAUCCUGCAGUUUCCUUCAGCCCCUUCCAUGAUUUGUCCUCCACUCCAAGAAACCUAAAAUUCAACCAAAACAACUAUAGAAUCAAAAACUGCUCAAUCUUAAACCAAUUAUAAGCACAACUAAUUAGUUUUAGAUUACCUGAGAACAGGAUAAAGCAAACCAGAACUCUCGUGGAUCCAAAGCCCGGGAUCGUCCGAAACCGAAACGGUCCGACCUAUGCCGACACCGUCAUUGAUCGUCUCCUCCUCAAGAGGAAGCAAAGCAUUCAACGGCUUAGUCUGGUGGAUCUGAGUCUGGUGAAGCGCCAGAGCGAACAACGCUCCAGCGGCGUAUCGCUGAGUCUGAGUUAGUACUACCUUCGCCUCCAUAACCGGCGGUGCUUCGGGUUUAGAGGUCACAGAGCAUCGAAAACGCAAUAGAUUAGAAUUAGCAAACGGAACUAGAGGUUUUAAUGUAGCGUAGAAGAUUCUCAUUCAGAAUUGAAAGUCACAUGAACUCAGAAUGUUAUCCAAAAAGAAUAACUAAUUCUCCCGCCGUAACUAACUCUCAUUCAGAAUUGAAAGUCACAUGAGAUUCGUUCCUUUACCUUUUCAACCGGACACUGGCCUUGCCGUAACGGCUUUUUCCCGCUGUUGGCGCGAGGAACUGGGACUCCAGCGGCCGCCACGUGGCACUAAUAAUGAAGCGUGUAACUGCUACAUGUCGAACGGAAAUAGUUUUUACUCUAGCCUGGCCCACUGAGCCUGGACCGCCUAGACACGCGCCGUUUCUGCUAACCCGCAAAAAGCUCAUUUCCUACUAAUUUUUAAUUUUUAAUUUUUAAAAGAUGGACCCCCUGGCCCCGUUUUGGCCCACUAAACAUCGACCGCAUAGCCGCGCCGUGUCCUCCUAGCCCACAAAAAGCCCAUUUCGCACUUUUUUUGUUUUGUGUUUUGCUGUAGGGUUUUUGUAGCUCGAAUCCUGUAGGUAAGGGUUUUGUGUAGCGAUUCUUCUUCUGCAGUUGUGCUCCUCCUAUCAGCUGUUCACAAAUUCCAAGCAAACCUUCUCUGAUUCAUUCCUAAUAAUGGGGAAGAAGAAGUUCAUCGACAAGAAAAAGUCGUCGACUUUCCAAUUAAUCGCCCGAGACUCCUCCGAUCCCAACUACGACGACUCACCCGGCGGCGACCGGGUCUUCAUCCAAGUCUCCGGCCAGCCCACCAACGAUGCCGAUUCCAUCUUCGCCGACGCGCCUGAGGACGAAGAAGGUGACCACUACUACGACCACGCUUACGGAAGCUAUUCUGCGGCGGCGCCUCAGCCCCUGCCGGAGAAAGUGAGGAAGGAGAUUCUCGACCUCGGGUUUCCCGACGACGGUUACAACUACUUGAACCACCUGAGGGAGAUCAAGAACGCCGGCGGUGGCUCCGCGUAUUACUCCAAUCCCAAGGCUAAGCUCGAGCAGCUUCCGCAUGACGUCAAGGUGAGUUUUGUACAGCUCAUUUUCUGUUUCGGUUGUAACAGAAUUGUUGGGAUGUGUUAUUGAAUGAGUUUGGUGUCGAUUUUUCAGGCAUAUGAUGCUUCGAGAUUGCGAAUUUCGGAGAAGGAGGUUCCGGAUGAGAAGGAUAUAUACACUGUGGCGUCUAAGACUGUCAAUGUGAGGGUUCAGAGAGCUGUUGAUCCUGAAGUGUCUGCAUUGCUUGAUGAUAGUGAUGCUGUGUCGCGGUUCGGUUCUGAUGAUGAGGAUUUGGAGGAGGAUUUUGUGAUUAAGGCGAAUCUUGCUGAUGGAGACGAAGAGGAGGAGGUUUGUGUAUGUGAGGGGCCAAGUUUUGUUGAGCAAUCGGAGAGCAAGAAUGUGAGCAAUGUAGUUGGUAUGGUUGAAAGGAAUAGCACGGAGAGGGGAAAGGGUGAGUUUGUGGUGGAUGAUCCACGAGCUCGGAGGGAUGUGGAUGACGAAUUUGAUAUGGUGAGUUGUUUUUUGUGUUAUAUUUUGGUUGUGUGGUCUAAUUAAAGUCUACAGUUUGAGUUUUAUGAAGAUGUAUAUGGGUUAAUGUAUUACUAUUUCAUGUUUUGGUUACAUAAAAAUCAGGUCUUAAGUCGGGAAUAUGAUAAUGACGAUGAUGAGGAUGACUAUGAUGGUGGUGAUCAUGAUGAUGGUUAUUUUUAUGGAGAUGAAGAGGAUACAUCCAUUGAGGAGAAGCUCAAGGACGUAAAACUUAAUGACUGCGUGAAGGAUGACUUUGAACUUAAUGAAUACGAGGUCCCGGGAGAUGGUGAGGAGAUACAAAAAACAAAGCAGCUUGGGAAGAUAUAUGAGAAUGAAGAUCAAGAGGACGAGGUGGUAAUUGUAGAGGAGUCUAGUGAUGAAUCACAAAAAUGGGACUGUGAGACUGUUGUUACUACAUAUUCAACACUUGAAAACCAUCCUGCAAAAAUUGGAGCUCCAGAACUAAGUAGAAAGAAGAAGCAGCUUUCAGAAACCGUUUUUAAAGGCUUGGAUGCCUCAAAUACUUUGAUAAAACUUGGAGGAAAACAGAGGCUGCCUGUGGACUUCUUGCCUGGUAAUAGAAGACCUCCUGCUGCUACAGAGAAGGUGGAAGAUACAGGUAGCUUGAAAACUGAGCAGCAGAAAAGGAAGCAACAUGGUCAGGAGUCAAAGGAGCAGAAGAAAGAGCGGAAGGUAUGAGUCUGCUAUUUGUUUAAGCUCAUCUUGGACAUGACAUUCCAUUCAUCUUGCCUUACAUUGAAAGAUUAAUGCGCCAGCUUAUGAUGAUGAAAAUCUGCAUUCAAAUAUCUCAUAACUACUGAUCUUGUCAUUUAAUAAUAUCAGGAAUCAUACUGUCUGUUUUAUGGUUCUGUUGGUAAAUUUUGGCUGUUCCUUUGAUGAUAACUUGAAUAUAUCUGUGCAGUCGGCUGUCAAGGAGGAAAGGCGUGAAGCACGGCGUGCUAAAAAGGAAUUGAAGGAACUUUACAAGGGUGAAGCGCAGCAUGCUCAGAGAAUAGCUGCUAUAUCUGGCCCUUCUUCCAAGCGUCUGAUGUGAUUGUGCUGAUCAUCAAAUGGUAAUUGGAAUGGAAUCACCAUUGACUUACAAUCAGAUUGGUGACUGAAUGUGCCAAGUAUGCUUUAUACCGAUCGGUUUGUUUACAUGUGUUCCUGUAGGUGAGACUUAAGAAUGCACUGGACUUUUGUCAAGAAGUGUGGCAUCCCCUCAGCUUUCAUGGUUUGGAGCGAGCACAUAUAUGUCAGCAGUUUUGAGAGAAUGGAUAUUUGGAUUGUAGUUGGUUUACAACAGCAUAUCAAGUCUAGUUCUGUUGUUUUGGGCAUGUCAUAAUAUAUAGGGUAUGAGUUGAGUAGUUCUAUGGAGUGGAUUAUGUAACGUGGCUGGAGCUUGAAGAUAAAACCGUCUCUCUUCAACUCUCUCUUCAACUUUCCAACAUAUUUCAUUUAUUUUUGUCUGGAAAUUUCUAAUGUAUUCAUCAUUUCAUCAGAUUCUUUUUCGUUUUCCAUUUUCACAAUGCAUGAUACUAGUUAUCUGCUUGCUUUGUCUUAUAUUCUCUUUUCGUUACACUUGUAUAUGUGCUCCAUGACUGUAUUUGCCUCCUUUGUUAAAGUAGGUUGGUGUUUCCUCAGCUUGGAUUUCGUCUUGGUAUAAGAAAAGCAGCUCCCCUUGCCGACUGUUUCAAUAUCUUUGCUACAUAUGGGAUAUGCAUGAUGAACCAAAACAGAUAUUCAAUGAUGAUGUGAAACAACUCUGGGUUUAUUUAAUUGUUUCCAAGAAACGAAAAGUACAACAAUAUAAUGCCUAAUGAGGAAUUGGAGCCAUAUUGCCCCUACCAAAACAGGGUGUGGGACUCCAGAGGUCAUAGUCUUCAAGAGCUAUUUCCGAUGGCUCUGCUUUGUACUCUUCCUUCCUUAACGAUACCUGAUUUUGCAGCUGGUAGGAGGGAAGAUAUGAUGGUGAUGGGGCUGGGGCUGGGGCUGGGGCUAGUGAUAUUGACGAUGGAGGUAAAGCCGUCACUCUUGGCAUAUUCCUCAAUAUAGACAGCAUCAUCAUCACGACACAGAAAAUGUGCUUCGCUGAGCUUACUGCUACUGUUGGCAUGAUGAUUCUGCAGUAGCUCUGGUUAUGGUUUGAAUAUCUAACCGAUCAAGAGUGCAUU